CCCUACUCUAAUAAGGCUUUUGAUAUCUGGAGCUCAUAGGUGGGAGACAGCUAAUACAUACUUACAAGACAUUUAUUGCAUAGUCAAACCAUGAAUCCAGAAGAACAAGUCAAUAAGUCAAAUCAAGAUGUGCAUGUGUGGCGAAUGAAUGGUGCAUGGUAAUGAUGGUGAUAACAAUGGUGAAAGUCUAAUUCUACUUUUGCUCUUUUGAGGGGAUACAUACCUUCCUUGCUCUUUUGAAACUUUUUUUUGAGGAGAAUGAGAUGCUCUAUAUUUUCUUUUCUUCUUUUUUUUCUCUCAGGUGGGUAUCUUGUACCCCUAAUUCUACUAUCGGACACUUGUCCAUUUUUACGUCUCGUCUCACUUUUUUUUCUUUCGAGGUUCCGGGCACUUGCCCCUUUUUAUUUCCUCGUAUUCUUUUCUCUUCUUUUUUUUCUCUUUUUUUUCUUCUUUUUUUGAGAGCACUCAUUUCCUAAAAUAAUAUAGCAAAUGGUAGUAACCAAGAUAACUUGAGCAUUUAUUUCAAGGGGAAAACAGAAAUAGGAGAAUGUUUUUAGCUAUUCUCUCCCGGAUUAGGAGUAUAAUAUUUUUGGAUGGUUCUGGAGAUGGAAAUGAGUGGAUGUAUGUGGAUGCGUACUUCCAGAGUAGAAGCAGCAUGUAUGAGUGAACUUGCAAGUGAAUCUUAAUUUAACCACAUGACAAGCUCCUAAGGGUCUACACAGCUUGACCACACUCAAUGCUCAUAAGCAGUAAAAUGUAAAUGUGUGGCUCAAAGUCUAGCAAGCAUGUAUAUAUGGUUGUGGUAGGAAUUUAAACUCUCAUCAUACAGGAACUCAUCAUGUGAUAUUUUAAAGAUUUUCAAAGAUAAAAUUCUCCAGAAUUCUAGCAUCUCUAGGAACAGAUAAACAGCAGCUCAACCUUCCCAUAUCGUAUCCGUUAACGACUUAGACUUUAGAUCAAGUACUCUCCCCACAAGUUCAGGUUUAGAGCAAAUCUUAAUUAAUACCAGUCAUGCCUAAACUUAAGAGAGAUUUCAAUUUUGAGAACUAGUCAUGGUAGAGCAACUAUUCAUCAUUUCCAUGUGAGAGCUUAUCAUGAGGGUUCAUAGCAAACUUUAUUUAUUUAUUUAGCAAACUAAGCAAGGAUAUAUAUAAGCACAAAAUCUUUAUUUGGGUUUUUAUGAUUAUGCAUCUUUUUAUUAUUUAAGUAAAGUAUAAACAUGAGUAGAGCACUUAGCUGGAUAAAUGGGGUUGCUCUCCCCCAAGCUGGGUUUUGACGUAAUUCCUUCUGAUGUAGCUAGCAGGUGGCGGAGGUGUAUUUGAAUGUUGGCAGCACCCUAACAGUGAUUAAUACGUCCUUCGUCUACUAGUCUUCUUUGAUCCUUGAAUUAUGUGGAGCUCAAAUAGACAACAAAGCUUUGUUGAACUGGUUAAGUGUUAGCAUAAAUAUCUAGCCUUUAUCAUGUUGAGCCUCCUCAAUAAAUGUUACUCACUUUGGUAGGAUCAUAAAUUUGUUUUUAUAAUUUUAUUUUUAUAGGACAGGAAUAUAUUUAUUUUAUUUUUAUGCCACCACAGUGAAUGUACUUAUGGGUUUUAUGCCAUGAGCAUACUCACAUGGGGCUUACUAUUUUUAACAAUUUUAUUUUCUUUUUAAGAUGAUAUGAACCUGAUUAACUAAGCAAACUAUUUUAAAUAAUUGAAAGGGAAAAAGGAUAACUACCAAGUUUACCUCUUGGCAAGGCGUUCGGUGUUUUAAAGUCCUCCGAACAGGACUCUCUAUUUUCUCAGUUGUCUUGGGAUUUGCUGGAUGGCGUACUCGGUGGUUCCGGCAGCGCCUGGUCUUCAUGUAUAACUAUCUUCUCUCUCCACACCUGACUCUUUGCUACGGUCUCCUCAGGACAGUUCUGUUCAAGCUGUAUGUCUUCAGACCUUACGACUUCUCCUUCAUAGUCUGCCCAUCCGUCCUUGAUGAUUUGCCUCCUCUAGUUGCGGUUGCGUCGUCUUCUUCUUGCCCUAACCUGCUUAGAGUCUUCAACUAUAUAGUUAGGGUCAGUAAAAUAGUAGCGUACCUUCUCAGAGGGGAAGUGCAUGUGGACUUCUCCGGUUCCAAUGUAGAUAAUUGCUUUAACAGUGCUGAGGAAUGGUCUUCCAAGGAUGAUGGGUGGAUCGUACUUGUCUUCUCCCAUGUCAAUAACCUUAAAAUCAUCUGGAGCUGAAUGUAUGUUGGUUGUAGGGACAUGGUUCCAUGCAGGAGCUGAUAAGUGACUGCGGCCAUUAUGUUGAUGUUAGAUCCGGUGUCGUAGAGUGUCUUCUGAAAAGAAUAUCCGUUGAUUGUGCACUCGAUGCUUGGAACACCAGGGUCGUCCUUCUUGAUCAAGAAAGGUGACUUGAGUUGACGAUCUUGACCUCCUUGAGCUGCAGUGACCAUCUUAGCUGACUUGGUCCACAUUUGCUUGUUCCUGUUCCUCUUGUUGGUCCUUCCUUGGUUCAUGUCAGGAUUGCUCUAAGAUUUGUGUAGUCUUGUUGUUGAAGGAAAACGUCUCCUUCCUUCCCUUGAUAUAGAAACUGAUCUUGGCAGCACUAGCGUAGAUGACAGCUCCCGAGGUGUUCAGGAAUGGCCUCCCUAGGAUGAUGGGUGCCCUCUCAUCAGUAUCAGUCUCUAUCACCACGAAGUCUGCUGGAGCGUAUAAGGUACCAACUCAGACGUAGAGGUUCUUCAAUAUUCCCUUUGGGAAACUUAGUGUCUGAUCUGCAAGCUGCAAACACAUGGUUGUUUCUAGGAAAGGAUGUGUAAAGAAUUUUUCAUAGAGUACCCUGAGCAUAAUGUUGACGCUGGAGCCAAAGCUGCAGAGUGCUUCUCGGAAGUCCACCAUGCCGAUGGAGAUCGGGAUGACGGGACGUCCUGGAUUGUAUCUCUUGACCGGCAGAAGGUCAGUAAUUACUUCCACAACAGGGUUACUCCAGUAGUUACGUCCUCAAGCAUCUCAGGGCAGUGAUUGCCUGAGUGUCCAGUAUCUCCAGAGUGUUUGUGCUCGUAGAUCUAGGUUCUUCACUUGGUGGAGUCUGGGAGUUAUAAAAGUCCUUCAUAUUUUGCUCGAAAUGUACCUACUCAUAGAGACAAGGCAGAGAUCAAGUGCAUGGGCCCUGUUGGUGGAAAACACCAACAGAACCAAAAGUGUAUUUGUUCUUCUCUAACCUCAAGCAUAGUGAGCAAGACAAAGUUGAUGGAUAAUAAAAUCAUGAGUGUAGUAUUUAACAUUUGUCAGAUUAGAUUGCUCAACCUUAUGGAAAGAUAAUCUAUCUAUAUAUAUGUUUUGUUUAUAUCUUCCAAAGAUUGAGUGUGCAACAUUUUAGCUAAUAUGAUUAUGAGUGUGAAAUCACAAAGGUGGAAGGACUAAACAUGUUGAAUCGAUUGGGUUGGUUAAUCUAGAGUUGUAGAUCAUACAUGUUUGUCUCUUUUAUUCAUGUGAACGCCAGAACCAAGGAGAAGCUUAUAGAAGUGAUAGUCAAGUACUUUAAGAUGUUACCUUUCUUGAAGAGUGAUGGUGCAGUAUUACCUUAUGGAAGCUUUCCUUUCUUUGCGGUUGUGCAUCGUGUUGGUGGCACCCUCCAUGGAUCAUCUCUUGUGAGCUAUGUCUUCCUUGUGUAAAUUGUUAAACUUCAUGUGUGUCUCUCUUUGUCUCCAAUGUGAGUUUAUCUCAGGACUUCCUAGGUCGAUAUUGAAAGUUUUCUUUUUUUUCUGCAGGGGUUAGUCUGACAAAAUAUACCGAUCUCUACACAAGCAGUUUUUAGUUCAAUAACCAAACUAGACUCCAUGUCUAAUUAGAUUAAGGAAGGCUGUUUAACCUAAGCACCAUGUACUUCCAAACUAACACUUACUAGGAUAAACAAAGGUAGCGUGAUGGCUUUUAUAGAGAUCUCAAGUGGAGAUGAAGUAGUGUGAUUAGUAUUUAACAAAUUGAGCAUGUCUCAAAGGUAGGGACAACCAACAUAGCAACAUGGCAAAUUAUGUUUUUAUAAAGUACUCCCCCAAGCUUGAAUUUUGCAAAAUUCAAGUUUGGAUGAAUUUAAUUCAAUGUUGUAUGAUGAUUGGUUGUACAUACCUUGUGCUUGUCAUUCAUCUGAUCUUCUUGCUCCAAUCCUAGAAAGGUUAGUGACAAGAAUACCCGAAGGAAUUUUUUUACAAUUAUCCUUAUAUGCUCAAUACACAAGGUAAUGUUGCAAAUAAUUAAAAGCUCAUGUUACGAUCUGAUCAGUGCUUGUUUUAGGACACUAAGCUUGUCCUUGGGAAACCAUUAAUUUAUGUCGGUGAAGUGGUUUCCCCUCCAACGCUGACCUAUAUCAAGAUUGACUCAACAAGAUCUGCAAUAUUUCUUAUAGACAUAUGCAUCGACAACCGCCCUUUUAAAGUUUUUAUAAAUAGAAAGGAUGAGGGGGUUGGAGAUCUCGAAUGUGGUGAUGUUGGAGAGAUCAAUGGAUUGUGAAGAUGUUGCAUAUGAGCAUGGAGCAAAUGAAGUGGCUAUGAAAUAAAUUCCAUGCUCAUUAAUGCUUAGAGUGAAAUCCAUGUGGUAUAGUGAAAGUGAUAAGCACUAGUACAAAAAUCGUUUUUGCUGGCACGUUGUUUUUUUUUCACUGGCGGUUCACAAUAUCAUGGCGCUAGUAGAAAAAUUUCAGAGGCCCCAACAAGAAAACCUCCUGUGUAAACACGUUUACACAGGCGGUCUUCUUAACUACACCGCCUGUGUAAACUUCACAUUUACACAGGCGGCUUACAAUACAAACCGCCUGUGUAAAUACCAUUAACACAGGCGGCCGAUUUAAGACAACCGCCUGUGUAAAUGUGUCUGUUUACACAGGCGGUUUGUAUAGAGGACCGCCUGUACUAAUGUAUUUACACAGGUGGCCCUCUUUAUGAGCCGCCUGUGCUAAGUCUGCUAUAAAUACCCUUUGUCCACCUCCAGACAAGAACAGUUACUCCCGUGAGCUCACGGACCAGGCGGACCAGACGAUUCCAGUUUCCAAGGGGGGAGGUUUUGAUCCUCAUUUCUUUGGUGAGAAACUUCCAAAAGGUUAGUUGGAGCCCUUGAUGCUAUUUUUUUAGUGAUACUAUGGUUCAAUUCUUGUAUUGGAGGUGCUCUAGAUCUAGAGUUCAUGAACCAUUCUUGCUUAGGGUUAGGGUUCAUAGGGCAAGAGAGAGAAUUUUAGCUAAAUUUUUAUGUAAAUUCAUAGUAAAUUGUAGAAAUUAAAAAAAUAGAAAAUAAAUACUUUUUAGAAUUCUUGUGAGUAGAUCUAUACAAUAGAGUAAUGAUGAGGACAUUUUGAAGUUUAUAAUUUUGAUUCAGUUUUAACUUUUCUUUUUUCAGAUGAAUUAGACUUUAUAAACUCAAACAUUAAAAUGUUGAAAAUCAUAAAAUGGCAAAUAAAUACUUUUUCAAAUCUUUGUGCAUAAAUACUUCAUAGAAAUCCUUGAAUUAUUCCUAAAUUUUAUACAAUUAUUUCUUAUAUUUAUGAAAAUGGGCUUCAACAAUUAUUUAAAUUCCAUAAAUUGUAAACUCUGUAAGGGGUAGGUUUUCAUCUCUGUUUAGUAGAAGGAGGUUAGUAUCUUAGUUAAAUCUGUUUUCGGGAGUUAUAUUAGUUUUGUUUUUAGAUUGACCUACAUUAAUUGUUCUUAACUAAUUACAGCUAAAUAUGGAGAGGUCAUUAUGGAUGUACAACUUAUCAAGAUUGGACCCAUCAUAUGUAGUGGAGGUCCAAAAGUUUAUUGAUGUUGCAAAGAUACAUGCUCGCAGAACAAAGGCGAAGCACAUAUGUUGUCCAUGCGCAGACUGCAAAAAUAUUGUGGUAUUUGACAAUGUAGAAGCAAUUACUUCCCAUCUGGUUUGUAGAGGAUUUAUGGAGGACUACUUGAUUUGGACAAAACAUGGUGAGGGUAGUUCUGCACCUUAUAUGCGGACAACAGACAACACUGCAACUAACGUCAAUGUGGAGGAUCAAAUGCCACCUCUCAAUGAAUUUCAUGCUAUGUCAGGUGUCAAUGAAACUCAUACGUCUGAUGUCAAUGACACAGAUGCUGUUGAAGAUGUAGAUUUCUUAGAGGCAAUAAUGAACCGUUGUGCAGAUCCAUCAAUAUUCUUCAUGAAGGGAAUGGAAGCAUUGAAGAAGGCAGCAGAGGACACUUGGUACGACGAGUCGAAUGGUUGUACCAAAGAGUGGUCGACAUUACGUGCUGUUCUUCAGUUUUUGACGAUGAAGGCUAGACAUGGUUGGUCCGAUGCUAGCUUCAAUGAUUUCUUGCGUGUACUUGGAGACCUUCUUCCUAAGGAGAACAAAGUGCCUGCUAACACAUACUAUGCAAAGAAGCUAGUCAGUCCACUUACGAUAGGUGUUGAGAAGAUCCACGCAUGUAGAAAUCAUUGUAUUCUAUAUCGGGGUGAUCAAUUUAAAGAUUUAGAUAGUUGUCCAAACUGUGGUGUCAGUAGAUACAAGACAAACAAAGAUUAUCGGGAGGAAGAGAAUCUAGCCUCUGUUUCUACAGGGAGGAAGCGAAAGAAGACCCAAACAAAGACUCAACAAGACAAACGCUCGAAGCCUAGUAGCAAUGAAGAAGUGGACUAUUAUGCAUUGAGAAGAAUUCCUGCUUUGGUGAUAUGGUAUCUCCCCGUGGUUGAUCGUUUGAGGUGUUUGUUUGCAAACCCUGAAGACGCUGAACUUAUGACCUGGCAUGCUUCAGAUGAAAGGAAAGAUGAUGGAAAGUUACGACAUCCAGCCGAUGCAAAGCAAUGGAAAGAUUUCGAUAAGAAAUAUCCAGACUUUGCUGACGAUCCACGAAAUGUAAGGUUUGCACUGAGUACUAAUGGAAUGAAUCCAUUUGGCGAAAGGAGCAGCACGCACAGCACAUGGCCGGUGAUCCUGACAAUAUACAACCUUCCUUCAUGGUUGUGUCAAAAGAGAAAAUAUCUUUUGCUAACCAUUCUUAUUUCUGGACCUACACAACCUGGAGUUGAUAUGGAUGUAUUUCUAGAGCCCUUAAUGCAAGACAUGCAAACACUAUGGGAAGUAGGUGUGGACAUGAUCGAUGCGUUCCACAAAGAGACAUUCACAAUGAGAGCAAUUAUUAUUGUCACAAUUAAUGAUUACCCUGCUCUCUUCUCAUUAUCAGGUCAGUUCAAGGGAAAGGUUGGUUGUGUAGAGUGCAUAGAUGGAACAUGGCACGUGUCUCUUCCUGCAUCUAACAAGAUAGUGUACAUGAGGCACAGAAGAUGGCUACCGGCAGGCCAUAAGUACCGCUUACAAAAGAUGAAUAAGUACUUCGACAAUAUUGAUGAAUCAAAAUCUACUGCUCCAUCAGGUUGUAGUAAAGGGCAUAGAGUGUACAAGAUAGUUGAGAAUGUGAAGUUUGUUUUUGGAAAGAAGACCAAAGAUGGGAAACCAAGAAAGGUUGUCAAGGCAAAUGAAGGGGACACAUUCAAGAGGAAGUCCAUUUUCUUCAAGUACUUAUCGUACUGGAAAGACUUGGACGUACGACAUGCGAUCGAUGGUAUCCAUGUUCAGAAGAAUGUGUUUGAAAGUGUAAUUGGAACCUUGUUAGACAUCAAGAGCAAGACAAAGGAAGGUCUCAAUUCAUGUUUGGACAUGCAACAUUUAAAGAUCAGAAAAGAACUUCACCCUGUACUCCUAGAGAAUGGGAAGUACCACCUACCGGCAGCAAGCUACAACCUGAACAGAGAGGAGAAACAUGCAAUGUGUGUGUGGUUGAAGAAUUUAAAAGUUCCAUCUGGUUUCUGCUCCAACAUAAGAAGUCUUGUGUCAAUGAAAGACCUUACAUUCACCAACUACAACUCACAUGAUUGUCAUGUCAUGCUGACCACUUUCCCUCCUAUCGCCAUCAGGGCUAUAAAUCCAGUGUUCUUAAAGAUGGCAAUCACACGGUUGUGCUACUUCUUGAAUAAGAUAUCUGAGAAGGUAAUUGUCCGUGAUGAGUUAGAGUCCCUACAAAAAUUUGCUGCAGAGACAUUGAGCCAGUUGGAGAUGUGCUUUCCAACAUCGUUCUUUGAUAUAAUGGUACACCUUGUUGUUCAUUUGGUACCUCAAAUAGAGGCAUUAGGUCCCAGUUAUUUCCAUGAAAUGUGGACGUAUGAGCGUUUCAUGUCAAUAUUGAAUGGCUAUAUGUCAAAUCGUGCUCAUCCAGAGGGUUCCAUGAUAGAGGCGUACACUACAGAAGAGGCCAUUGAGUCUGGAGGACCAUUAUGUAAUAAUCUCCUAAAAGACCAGGUAUCAAUUGGUUUGCCUCCAUUGCGACAUGAGGGAAGGCUUGAUGGACGCGGGAGAAUGGGACGGAAAUCAUUCAUCCCACCAGAUUACAACAUAGUCCUAGAGGCACAUUAUAGCAUACUACAACAACUCAUAAUAAUGGACCCAUUCAUUGAGCAGCACAUGAAAGAGCUUCGUGAGAAGAAUCCAGGAUGCACAAAUGAUUGGGUACACAAGGAACACAAGCGUCAGUUCACCACAUGGUUAAAGGAUUUGGACAUGACAGAGGAAUCAGAAACCAUUAAGAUGUUAGCAUCUGGACCAUCAAGCCAGGUCACAUCAUGGCAGAGCUAUGACAUUAGUGGCUUUUCAUUUUCCACCAGCUAUAGGGACACCAAGAGCAUGGGACAGAAUAGUGGCGUUCGAUGCGAGGCUAUAGAUGAUGCAACUGGUGAAACAAAUACAUACUUUGGGUUCAUUGAUGACAUAUGGGAGGUAGAAUAUGGUCCACUCCUGCAGAUUCCAGUGUUCCGAUGCCGAUGGGUUCAAGAUAAACAUGUCACUGUGGAUAACUAUGGCCAGAGAGUUCUUGACCUAAGUAAAGUAGGUUAUAAAGAUGAUCCGUGGAUCCUUGCUAACCGUGCCGCACAAGUCUUCUAUGUGGAACAAAUCCUUUCUAAGGAUGAAAAGAAAAAUAGCCACAAGCCAAAGCAUAUAGUUAUUCCUGGAAAGCAACAAAUUAUAGGAGUUGAUGGUGUAAUGGAUUUGGAGGAUGUUAACCAAUUCAGCGAGAUGUCUCUUUUUACAAACUUUCAAGAAAACAUAAAAAAUGUUGAGAAAAGUAUCCUACAAUCCUCAUUGCCAUGGGUGCGCCACGAUGGACAAGGAAGGAUUGUAGCACGCUAAAUUCUAUAAGUUAUCAUUACUCAUGUAACUCAUGUAUCACUUAUCAUUUGUACCUUAUGCUACUAUUUCUUAUUAAGCAACAUGUUUACAUUUUUCAUUUGUUUUAUAAUAUUUGCACUCCUUUUGUAUUUUAUAACAAAGCACUCCUUUUGUAUUUUAUAAUAUUUGAACAAUUUAUUAUAUAUUUUACAGGCGGCUGUAAAUGAAAACCGCCUGUACUAAUCUAUUAGUACAGGCGGCUCUCAAAGACGUCCGCCUGUAGAAAUCCAAACCUAUUUAUACCUAGAGCGCGGGCCGUAAAAUUUUUCAACUCCCGGUGGCGCGAGGUUGACGAAAGACGCUGUUAGGCUGCCGAAAUCCACCGCCGCGCCAGCCAUCUCUCGCCGGAGCCCGCCCGCGACGCUGCUGCCCUGCCUCCGCGCCCCCGCCGCGAGCCACUGCGCCGCCGAGGAGAGCCCGUGCGCCGCCGCCACCGAGGACGUCCGCGUGCCGCCGCCGCCGCUGACGCCGCCGCCACGCGCCACACCUCCGCGCCGCCGACGNNNNNNNNNNNNNNNNNNNNNNNNNNNNNNNNNNNNNNNNNNNNNNNNNNNNNNNNNNNNNNNNNNNNNNNNNNNNNNNNNNNNNNNNNNNNNNNNNNNNNNNNNNNNNNNNNNNNNNNNNNNNNNNNNNNNNNNNNNNNNNNNNNNNNNNNNNNNNNNNNNNNNNNNNNNNNNNNNNNNNNNNNNNNNNNNNNNNNNNNNNNNNNNNNNNNNNNNNNNNNNNNNNNNNNNNNNNNNNNNNNNNNNNNNNNNNNNNNNNNNNNNNNNNNNNNNNNNNNNNNNNNNNNNNNNNNNNNNNNNNNNNNNNNNNNNNNNNNNNNNNNNNNNNNNNNNNNNNNNNNNNNNNNNNNNNNNNNNNNNNNNNNNNNNNNNNNNNNNNNNNNNNNNNNNNNNNNNNNNNNNNNNNNNNNNNNNNNNNNNNNNNNNNNNNNNNNNNNNNNNNNNNNNNNNNNNNNNNNNNNNNNNNNNNNNNNNNNNNNNNNNNNNNNNNNNNNNNNNNNNNNNNNNNNNNNNNNNNNNNNNNNNNNNNNNNNNNNNNNNNNNNNNNNNNNNNNNNNNNNNNNNNNNNNNNNNNNNNNNNNNNNNNNNNNNNNNNNNNNNNNNNNNNNNNNNNNNNNNNNNNNNNNNNNNNNNNNNNNNNNNNNNNNNNNNNNNNNNNNNNNNNNNNNNNNNNNNNNNNNNNNNNNNNNNNNNNNNNNNNNNNNNNGCUGGGCCUGGCAGGCGCCCUUGCUGCCUUUUUUUUUAAUUUUUGUAAAUUAUUUAUUGUUAAUUAUUGAUUGUUUAUUAAAUAUUAGGGUUUGUUUGUUAAUUAAUUAUAUAUUUGUUAAUUAUUAGUUGUUAAUUAAUUAUUAGGGUUUGUUUUGUAAAUUAUUUAACUUGUUAAUUAUUGGUUGUUAAUUAAUUAUUAGGGUUUGUUUUGUAAAUUAUUUAAUUGUUAAUUAUUGGUUGUUAAUUAAUUAUUAGGGUUUGCUUUGUAAAUUAUUUAAUUGUUAAUUAUUGGUUGUUAAUUAAUUAUUAGGGUUUGUUUGUUAAUUAAUUAUAUAUUUGUUAAUUAUUAGUUGUUAAUUAAUUAUUAGGGUUUGUUUUGUAAAUUAUUUAAUUGUUAAUUAUUGGUUGUUAAUUAAUUAUUAGGGUUUGUUAGUUCAUUAUUUAUUUGUUAAUUAUUGAUUGUUAAUUAAUUAUUAGGGUAUGUUAGUUAAUUAUGUAUUUGUUAAUUAUUGGUUGUUAAUUAAUUAUUAGUGUUUGUUAGAUAAUUAUUUAUUUGUUAAUUAUUGGUUGUUAAUUAAUUAUUAGGAUUUGUUAGAUAAUUAUUUAUUUGUUAAUUAUUGAUUGUUAAUUAAUUAUUAGGGUUUGUUAGUUAAUUAAUUAGGGUUAUUUAUUUGUUAGUAAUUAUUGAUUAUUAAAUUAGUGUUAGUUUUAAUUAGGGUUAUAAAUUAUUUGUUUACUUAGAUGACUACUCCAUCGAAUGAGAUAGAAACACCGGGAUCCAACACCUCUGGAUCCGACACUUAUAGGAGUCCGAGCGUAUCACCACGUGAAUCCCCCAGAGCUAAGAAGGCUCGUCUAGAGUUGGAACAUGACCCGACAUACGAGCCUCAAGCUGAUCCGGAUGAUGAUGAGAUAUAUAUUGUAGUAGUGUCUAUACAAUAGAAUACAUGUGUAUAUAUGUAUAUACCUAACAAUUGAAUGGACAGGAGGUGUUAUCUCAAGUUGUUGCCGAAAUGGAGGCAGAAGAACAAGAUGUUCAGAAGGACAUGGCGCCUCAAACGACUGGGACAUCCUCUGAGCCAAGAAGUAAAACAAAAAAGAGUGAUCGGGCACGAGGAGACAGAGGAAGCAAUAGAUUUCCAGAAGAAGUUUACCAGAUUAUAGAGUUAAGUCUGAGCGGAGAGCCCUUAGCACCUCUAGAGGCGCUACCCAAAUUUAGGGCCGCAAUUGAAUAUUUAGUAAAAGAGGAAUUUGAUAUCAGUUUGAGUGAUUGGAGUAUGGUGCCACAAGUGAAAAGGACCAGUUGCUGGAAUCGCUUGUGCACUCGAUUUAUUUUUCCCGAUGGUACAGAUGAAUUGGCCAAGGGUUAUGUCAUGAAGCAGUUGGCAAUAUCAUUCCGGGGCUAUAGGCACGAUAUGAACAAAAAGUGGUUGCAGAAGGGACGGGACCCGACGAAGCGGUACCCUAUCACAGAGGCUCAGUGGGCACGUUUUCGUUUGAUGAGAGAAUCAGACGAUGCGAAGGCUAAGAGCAAAGCCGCCUCUGAACUCGCGAAGAGGAACAAGUAUCACCACCACCUUGGCACUGGUGGUUAUAAGACCAAGAUUCCUAAAUGGAGGGCAGAAGACGAUGCAAAGAGGAGAGAGGGCCAUUUGGCAUUGACCGAUAUAGUGCCUGAAAGGAGUGCGAAUUGGCUUCGUGCUCGGAAGGCAAACACUGAGAGCGAUGAGAUGUCAUGUCCCGAUGAGAUUAGAGAAGUUGCCGACAAGAUUUUGGAAGCAUCAAACCUAGAAAAGAAAGGUGCCUUCAAGUCAUAGAGGGAGAGGGACAUCCUUACCCAUGCUCUAGGUAACCCCGAGCAUCCAGAACGUGUACGGGGAUUCUCCUCCAGAAUUAGUUGGAAAGAAGGAUUCGGUGAUGAGUGGAAAGGCAUGUAUAAGAAAAGAGACCGACAUAAGGAGGAAAUGAAAGAUUUUUUUGAGCAGCAGGUUGCAAAAAAGUUUAGGGAUAUGAUGGAAGACUUCUUUACAAAUCCUAAUCCUGAAGUGAUGAAGCGGUUGGCUGGAGCAGUGUUUGCUCAACAAAUGUCCUCACAAGCUCCUUCGCAUAUGCAGCUUGUACCAGCUCAACCCUUGGAGCGUCAGGAGAUGGCCUCACAAUCUAAGCCCUUUCCAAGCAGUAUAGCGUCAACAACAAAUGAGGACCAUUAUCCAGUUGAUGAUAUUGAUAGACCUUGGCCUUGCUCCUUGGUCAUAUCCUAUGGCCUUAAGAAUCAACAUACUAAGCAAGUGGCCACCGGUAAUGCUAUCCUAGGACGUACAUUCCAUACUGUUGACAUGCAAGAUGCAUACUGUAGGGUGGAAGUGUUGACGGUCGAGGCCGGAUAUGAAGACGACUUCAUAGACAUCCCGACCUCUGAGGGUAUAGAGAAGCUUGGACAAUCAAUCAAUAACUUCAUACAAUGGCCGAGACGGUACGUAAGGUUGAUUGAUCCACCAGCGCCACCCUCUCCAAGCAUAGUGCCUCAACAAUCCCAAGAGGCCGAAACAUAUCAACAACCACCAUCACCAAUGCAUGCUCCAGCAUCCCCGUACAUUUAUGAGCCACCACCAUCCUCCCCAAUACAUGAGAUGGCAUUCUUGCAGAAUGAGCCCGAGGUGCCAGCCAAGGAGAACAUGCCUGAGCAGCAGACUCCGCCAUCCAAGGAGAACAAGCAAACUCCCCCACCACCUCCAAAGGAGAAGGAGGAUGAGCAAACUCCCCCACCACCUCCAAAGCAGAAGGAAGAUGACCAAACUCCCCCAGCAGCACCGGCGUCAAAGAAGGUGAAGAAAUUUCCAAUUCCAAAAUUGAUUUCUCCCUUUGAGCCAAAAAAGGGGAAAGCAGCAGGCACAGCUCUCUUUCUUAAAGGACUUGGAAAGCAGCGGACAGCACGGCUUAUUGAGCUCGAACCGUCACAGAAAAAGGAAGCCACCGCCCAGUCAAUAGAAGCCAUGCCCCCAUCAAAGGAAGCCCCAAGUGGCGAUGUACAUGUCAAACAGCCAUCAAGUCAACCAUUGACCCUAACGGAUAUCAGAAAGCCAACGAUUGAUGAUUAUGUCAAUGUCCCCAGUGACUAUGUGCCUGGAAGGCCUAUGCUCCAAUGGACGAUGCUUGAUAAGAUUCAAUGGCCGAUAAAAAGAUUUCAUAACUGGUACAUGAGAGCAGUGCAUGCUGGCCUCCAUGCAAUCAGAGUUGAUAUACCAGCAGACGUGUUUGCUACUGGUAAUGAAAAAAGCAAGGCAUUUGUUACCUUUGAGGACAUGCACUUGUUAUUGAACUAUAGGCGGCUUGACGUCCAACUCAUAACAAUCUGGUGUCUGUAAGUAUCACUCAUGCACACACAAUUAUUAUUAAUAUGUAGUGUGAAACUCUAAUAUGUAGAUGUUGUCUGUAGUUUGCAAGAUCACGAGCAGAGGUCAUUAUUAUCUACCGGAUCGAUGGUCGGUUAUCUGAGCCCUAUCAAGUUACAAGAAAAUAUGCACAAAUUUGUACUAUCAAUGGACGAUAGAGCAAAGAUAGAGAAAGACAAAACACCAGAAGAAGUUGCAGAAGCUAUUAAAGAGUUGCAAAGAAAAUACGAGGAUAAUUAUGCCCUCUAUCUUGGUAGAUCAAUGCUGAGGUAUAAGUAUAGGGAUUUUAUAUUGGCACCUUACAACUUUAGGUAAGCUUGACUUCAUAUACGUACUUCAAAUAAUUAUCGUGCAAACAAUAUACAUGUGUCGCUCACUCAUUUAUUCAUGCAGUGACCAUUGGAUUGUUUUUUAUAUUUAUCCCUUCGAAGGGAAGGUGCUUGUACUAGAUUCUUUACAUGUUCCUCCCGAGAAGUAUCAACCAUUCUUGGUUCAAUUAGAAAGGUGAGCCAACAUAUGAAACCACAUGCGUACUUAUAUAAAUUAGAGUUUCGAAAUAACUUUAGUGAUUUAUAAUCGAUAUCUACAGGGCAUGGCGGUUUUAUAAGAGACAAAAGGGACCAGUCGAUGCCGCACGCUCAGAUCCUAGGGUGCCAUUGAUGAUACAACACCACUAUCCGGUAAGUUGUCCAAACACAUUUCAUCAUAUAAAUAAUACAUAAAGCAUGGCAAAUUUAGAAUAAUCCGUUGCUCAUUAUAUAGUGCCACAAGCAACCACCUGGAUCAGUCUAUUGUGGGUACUAUGUCUGUGAGUUUAUAAGACAGCGGAGACGUUACGUUAGGGACAAAAAUAUGGUAAAUAAUAUAUAUGUAUGAAGUUUUUUCAUUAAAGUUGCAAAAUUAUAUAUUGAACAUGUGUCAAUCAUGCUUUUAAACUUUGUUUGCAGCCAAAAAAGCAACGAAAGGACGUGCCCUUUACACCAAAGACGCUGGAAGAUAUAGUAGCAGACUUGUGUGGUUUCAUAAUGAGAGAAAUAAUUCCAAGUGACGGUGCAUAUUUUGAUCAUGAGGGCGAUUUAGCAAGUGAUAAAUUUAGAGUGCUGACAGACAUAGCAGGUCUAAAUCUGAAGCGAAAUGACAUGUAAACACUGUAUGGUUGUGCGGAUAACAUGCAUUAAUUGAUGUGUAUAUAUGUAAUUUUAUGGUUGAUGUUUGAUUUCAUGUUUACAAUUCUAUAAUAUAUAUAUGUGGUGUAUAUGUACGAUGUGUGUGUGAGUGUGUGUGUGUGUAUAUAUAUAUAUACAUAUAUAUGGUGUUUAGCACUGUGUUUGGUGGGAAAAAUUAAAAUUUGAAAUAUAUAUAUAAAAAAUUAUUUACAUAGGCAGUGUAGUGUGAGCCGCCUGUGUAAAUUACAUUUAUACAGGCGGCUCACAUUGUCAGCCGCUUGUGUAAAAGUUCAUUUACACAGGCGGCUGGCUAGGUGCGCCGCCUGUGAAAACCAUAUUUUCACAGGCGGCUCACACAGCACCGCCUGUACUGUGGUCCAUUUUGUACUGACCCCUGGUACAGGCGAUGUGCUCGGCCGCCUGUGAAGAUGCCUUUAGCGCCGCCUGUAAAAAUAUUUUCCGUAGUAGUGAAGGUGAGUGUGGUAAAAAAAGAAAGGAAAAAGGAUACACGGACGACUUGGUUCGAAACUAGCACAGCUACCGUUCCCCGGCAACGGCGCCAGAGAGCUUGUUGGGUAUUUUAAACGCAAACAGAAAAAUCCGUAAGCGCACGGAUACCGAUGUAGCCUUCACCCGGGAGUAUUCCAGAGUAUCGAUUUUCCACAGGGAACGUGAGUGUACUAAUUAAGAUCCAAGAUCGCCCAAGGAUAACUAUAUAAUUAUUUUUGGUGGGAAGAGAGGAAGUUUCCUGAGAGUUCUCUAGUUGAUCUAAGAAUCAAGAAUUACUUCAAGAUUAUCUAUUUCGGGACAUCAGAGCACUAACCACAGAAAGAGAUGAGAAGGGGGCUAGGAAGGUCUGACUACGGUCCUACAAACACCGAUCCGAACGAGGUGGAAUACGUCGACCGUUAGGGCUGUCACUACCCUAAGGCUACCACAACAAUCCGCAGGAUUGGGUGCAAUUCCAGGUAAUUGCAAGACUAAACACCACGUCUAAUCUAUUAAUUACUACUCUAAUGUUGCAAAGAUUAGAGCACUUGAUGCAAGCGGGAAUCCAAUAAAUAACUUGAAUGUAAAUAAAAGUAAUUAAAGAACUCAGGAUUAUGAAUUGAAGAACCUGGACAGCGAUGAAGAACGAACCAGUUGCUGCAAAAGUACAAUGUUGAGGAAGAUCCGACAGAUCCGGCUCCUCCUCCGCUCUCCUCUUCUCUCUCCCUAUUUUCUAGAUUACAACUAGAACUAACUAGAACUAGAACUAGAGGAACUAUAACUAGAACUAGAUGAGCUAGAACUAGAUCUAGAUGAACUAGAGGUAGAACUAGAAGAACUAGAGGGAUCCUCUCUACUUGGAUGAAGAAUUGAAACCCUAACUUUGAUUCUGUAGAAGAGGUAUGAUCUCUAGGGGCCAGGGGAUCUGGUUUUAUAGUCCCUUCAAGUGAAUAUGGGCCGUUGGACCAAACCAACAUUGAUCGCACGGUUUUCCUUGAUCCUUUAGGUCGGUGGAGCAUAAUCCGCGAAACAUGUCCUGAUUGGGCACUGUAGCUGGGCGGGCGCCCUGCCUCCGAGCCUGAUUUCCUUCCCGUUCGUUCCCGUUGCUUCUAGAGUCUUCUAGAUGAUAGAAAAUUGUGCGGUACGUUAAUAUCUCUAUGUAAACCCGACGUGUGGGCCUUUCUUCCGUAUUUCCUGAUAACCCCCUGCAGAAAUAGACAAACACCAAAACUCAUGGAAUUCUGUCAGAUAAAACCCUAAGUCUAGGUGUUAGUUGCAUUUGGAUCCUUUUCUAUGAUUAGUUGAUGGUUAAAUGUGAGCAUUAAGGACCGUCAACAACAACAGCGAUGCACCCGGAUGUCAUGGCCAAGAGGUGAUCACGCGGAACUUGAGAACGCGCCGAGCUUAAGUCGACGAAUUCCUAAGAACUCGUAGUAAAAAGAAAAUAUGACGAAGUCGUCGAAAAAGUUGAUGCUGGAAAAUGAGUAAAAACUUGUGUUUGAUUGAUUGAUAGAUUGUUCAUUACAAGGCCCUAGGGUCUACAUUUAUACCCUGCUCAAAGAGCUACAAUCAGACACGACUAGGACUCAAAUUCCAAAUUAAACGAAAUUCGUAUACAAAACGAAUUUAAAUAACUAAGGAAAACAUAAAACUAUCCCCUUGUAACCGACCGGGACACCGCCACAGAUCAAUCGGCAAUCUCCACGCUUUCCUUCAGAGUCAUCGGCAGACCUCCUCUUAUGGCCAUCGGCAACCACUAAUACUGAUCAUCGGCACGAACACGUCACCACCUCUGGACUUAGUCACAUUCAACUGUCUCUUCAUCGGCAACCACCCUCAUCGGCAACUUCCCUGCAGACUAGUUACCGUUACUCCAUCUGCCGAUCUAUACUUCACCAAUCUCCGGGUACGUGUCCAAAAACGGUGUCAACACCCGGCUCACCACAGCUGUAGCAUUUAUUAUCAUUGUUAGCAUUUGGUGCUUUUGGUGCACAAUUCAUUGGUGGAGCAUUGGGAACAUUUGUCUUUACUGGAGCAUUAUAUUGACUGGCUACUGACGUUGGUUAGGAGCUCUGUACUACUGCUGCUGGUGUGCACGUUGUGGUUGUUGAUUACGAUUGAUCAGACUCGACUGACCCUGAUAACGUUGCUGUUGAUAAGGUUGCUGGGAAUUGGUAUGGGUACGUGUGUUGUUUCCUGACUGUUGUCCUUGGAACUUCCUUUUCUUAUCUUCCAUCUGACGACGUUUGUUUUCAAUCACCAAGGCCUUGUCUACCAGAUACUGAAAACAUGCAAAAGUGUGGGAUAGCAGUUGAUACUGGAGCCCAUCAUUCAAACCUUCCAUGAAUAGUUCUUGCCUCUUCUCAUCAUUUUCCACUUCAAUGGGAGCAUAUCGUGACAAUUGUAUGAACUUGUCACGAUAUUCUGCAACAGACAUACCUCCUUGCUCGAGGGAGAGAAAUUCCUUCUUUUCAGUUUCAUUAGCCCAGCAGGGACAUGAUGAGAGCGGAAAGCAUUACGGAACUCCAUCCAGGUUAUCGGGUCAGCAUCUGUACGGCCAAAACGGAAUGAAUCCCACCAAUCAAGGGCAGCCCGCUGCAUACAACACUUUCUCUCUGUCAUUACACUGUGGUUGUCUUUCAAUAGCACGAAGCCAGUCAUCAGCUUCGAGAGGGUCGGUGGAGUGUUUGAAAACAGAUGGAUGUCCCUUCAAGAAUUCUCCUCUCUUGUCCCUAACAUGAGGAGGUGCAUUUCCAUUUCCAUUUCUGUUGUUCUGCAUAUUUUGAGCCAGCUGCAGCAGCAGUUGUGUUUGCAUCAUCAUCAGCUGCUCCAUAGUAGGAGGUGGUGGUGGUGGUGGCAAGUCCUCACCCCUCCUGUUCCUCCUAGUGUUCGCCAUCUGUACCGGAUACACAAUAUGAGUCUCAUAUGUCUAAGAUACUUAAUAUAUAUAUAUAUAUAUUUAGAGACAUAACAUGCUAGAAUUUAUAUCAUCUGAUUAGUUACGGGAUUACAUAUGUUGUGAGUACAAGGUAGUAUGCAUUCUGUAUUUUUCUGCUUUCCUCACUAAAACCACAGUGAAGUAAAACAAGCAUAUCUUUCCCUCUUUUUAAAGUCUGACUGCGAACGUUAACUUUCUGGAAAGCUUGGAAAUUUUCCUACAACUUUCAUUCAGAUCACUUUCUCAAAUUCUGGCGUUUACAUAGGUGAAAACAAAUGACAACUUUUACUGUUCUGGAAUUUCUGACUGCGCAGAGAGGUCACCUUGUAAUAAUUUUAUUUCUCAAACGUUCACAGAUAUUGAGGUGGUUCCAGGGCCGAUUGAAAGAUAUAGAAGUCUAUUUUAUUCCAUAAAUGUUUUGUAUUUUUAGACCGUCCAGAACUCGGGAUAUACAAAUAUUAAGGCAGACUGCUCAGAGGGAAAAACAUGGGUGGACAGCAAGAUAUAAGUAAACCCAACUAUUUAUUCAUAUUAUCCUUAGACCUUAGCCCUAAUCUAAAUGACUGCGGGCAUGCCCACAAUCAUUAAAAUCAUGACAAAAAUCCUACUCACCCAUUAAGAAUUAUUACAAACAUGCAUUCACGUAAUAGCAAUUGUUCAAUCAGUAGAAAAUAAAAACACACUCUCACAUCUCUAUGCGUACUUAUUACAAGUGGGGAAAAUCCUCCUAAGGGUCAAGGUUGGUGCCGGUGUUGGGGUCCUCUUGGUUUCUUGGGGGUGACUCUGCGAGGAUGAGUGGUACUUCUUCAACAUGACUCCCCUGCUGUUGCUUCAACAUGGCGUUCUCAACAGCCAACUCAAGGUAGGCCUUCCUCAGGGCAUCUAGCUCAUCUGAGACUUGAUCUAAGUCAGUGUUGGUUUGAGCCAAGCAUGCCAAGGUGGGUCGGAUCCUAGGGUUCCCUACCCCAAGUGGUGCAGCGAUGUUGUAGGAUGUCUGACCACUCCGCCGGCGUGGUAGAUAGCGAUCUUCUUCCCAUGCAAUAUCAGCAAAGUGGCGGUCGCGGUUUACCACUAAGGCCUGCCGGGCAGCGUCCCGGAUAGCUGCUGCGCGGGUAGUCCUGGCGGUGAUCGCACGGUGGAUGUAGCACACCCGACUUCCUUCUCGGAUGUAAGCUUCAGUCUCCCAAAAACCGAUGUAGUCGGGGUGGGUCCAAUGCUCGGUGCGGUACUGUACGGUACACCGGGUGUGAUAACGACGUGCGAGAGUAAGGAGCUUCGGGUGGUAAUAGGCGUCACCAUGCAAGUCAAAAUGGAUCACCACUGUCCAUCCCUUUGCCAGAAGUGCGGUAUGGUGAUCACGGCUAUCUCCAUCACCAUCACCAUCAUCACCACCACUGCCAUGGUCGUUCGAGUCAGAGCUGUCGGAACUAUCUACAUCAUCUAGAUCACCAGCACCCUCUUGUUCAUCUUGCUCCAUGGGCUCCUCUUCGGUGUCCUCAUCUUCAACAGGUUCCUCUAUCAUGGCUUCCUCCUCAGCAUCCUCAUCCAUGGGUACAUCCAUGGUUUGUUCCUCUUGUAGCUCCUCCUCAAUGUCUCUCAGUGCCUCAACCAGAUGCGGGGGAACACGCUUGCCUAGAAUGAACCUUGUCCUCUUGUUGGGCAUGAUGACACGUUUGCGAGCUGUCCACUUGGUACGGGCCAUCUAUAAGAAAAUAUAUGAGGAUUAGAACAAAAAAAUUUUCUUAAUAGAUAUUAGGCAGAUUAUAAGCAAUAAUUUUAUAGAAAAUAAUUAAUAAAAUAAGUGCUCAAGACCCUAAGAACGUCCAUUUCUAACUAGGCUGAUCGUCCUAUAGUCAGGCUAAGCUUUGAUACCAAUUUGUCGAACCCAGUUUUGAUAACAAAACCAAGUACGCAAAUAUGUGCGCCCAGGAUGUCCAAACACACAUAUUAUCACAAAUUGUAAAUAUAUCAAUGUAAAGUACUUUAUUACAUCGCAUAUUCAACUUAAACAUCUCACAUAGUCUUGCUCAUUGGCAACAUUAUUACAUAAAGCGGAAAGCUAAGCCCUUGCUGCCACAAGGACACCAACUGGUGAACACCAGAAUUCUAGAAGUCCUGGACAUCUCCAGGUGAAAGGAUCAAGAUGCCCAAGAGGGGGGGUGAAUUGGGCUUCUCUAAAAAUUUAAGCAACCUAUAAGCUCUAAUUCAACCCCUUGUGCCUAGUGUGACCUAGAGAGCUACCGGAUAAAAAGUUUUGCAACCUAGUUCCAAUCCUAUUCUAGCAUGGCAAUUCUAAGAAUGUAAAAGCACAAAGUAAAUGCUAGAAAGUAAAGGAGUAGUGGAAGAAAAUGCUCGGCGAUGUUUUGCCGAGGUAUCGGAAAGUCGCCACUCUCCACUAGUCCUCGUUGGAGCACCCGCGCAAGGGUCUUGCUCCCCCUUGGUCCGCGCAAGGACCAAGUGCUCUCUACAGGCAGAUUCUUCGACACUCCGUCGCGGUGAAUCGCCCAAAACUGCUCACAAGCUUGACACGAGCCACCCACAAGAACUCCAGGUGGUCUUCGUACCUCCAAUCACCACCGAACCGUCUAGGUGAUGGCGAUCACCAAGAGUAACAAGCAAAGAACUCUCACUUGACCCAAACAAGGCUCAAGAGAGUGGUGGAUGCACACUUGACUCUUGGAACUCACUAGAGAAGGAUUCUCUCAAGAAAUCACUCAAACUUCAAUCCUCUCUAGGCUCUUGCAACUCUCUUGCUCCACAACAAGUUUCUAUGAUGUUCAAAUAGGCAAGAGACCUCUCAUGGACGAGGUGGAGGAGUAUAAAUACUAUCCACGAAGUCCAAAGGUCGGCCAACCGUUUUCCACUGAAAACGGGGUCACCGGACGCACAUUAUGUUGCACCGGACGCACUGCACCGAGCGUCCGGUGCUUCAUAAUGGCUACCUGAACUUCUCUCUGACAGGUCACCGGACGCUAACUCCCAGCGUCCGGUGCACCGUCCGGUGCUCGGGGGAACUUUACAAGCUCCCUGCACAUGGGACCGGACGCUACCCGGUGCGUCCGGUGCUAGCGUUCGGAGCUCAGGGAAGGCUUGCAACCUCCCUGGGUAUGGGACCGGACGCUACCCGGUUCGUCCGGUGCUAGCGUCCGGUGCCUAACCCUAAGCACCACACUGUUCCAACGACUAAGGACCUCACCGGACGCACUCAUAGAGCGUCCGGUGCAGCGUCCGGUGCCCCUUUGGGCACCCAAACUUCGUCGAAACGCGAUCGCUCCAAAACGAAGUUGGUUCCUCUCGAUCUAAGGACUAUCUCUGAGCUACCUAGUGCUAGGUUUACCAAAUGUGCACCACACCUAAACCUAAAGCCUUGCCUAAGUCAAGCUACUAGAUCAAAGCACCUCUUAAUAGUACGGUCAAAGGAAAACAAAGUCCUAAACUAUUCUAAGUGCCCUUCUUCAUCAUAUGGCACUUAGACCUUGUCUAGUCUUGACGAUGUCCAUCCAUCCUUUGAAAACCGAAAACGAUUUCCACUAUUAAGUAGGCAUGUUCGUCCCUGUCCAUCGAGUACCUAUUUACCAUGACCUUACCUAUGACUUUGCCUCUGCAAAACACACGUUAGUCAUAGUAAUCAAUAAUGUCAUUAAUCACCGAAAUCACUAGGGGCCUAGAUGCUCUUUCAAUCUCCCCCUUUUUGGUGAUUGAUGACAAUCCUUGAGUAUGAAAAGAGUUGAGGUUUUUAAAGUGACUUGGUUUCAAUAAGCAUGUUGCAAUAAGAACAACGGGAUUAGUCAUGCUUAUAUCAACCGAGUCCAAUAUCCUGCAUCCAAAUAUGUGAGAGAUAUAUGACAGGAUAUAAACAUAAGGCUCAUAAGUACAUCGGAGUACAACGCGGAAGCAAAAGGUAAUAUGAGCCAAAACACAUGACAUUAAGAUAUCACAAUAACCACAAGUCAUGUCUCACAACCAUAGUAUCUCACACAAGUGCAAUGCAUAAAAGUAAACAUGAUGCAUGAUAAAGUAACACACAUAAAAAGUAUCUCAAAAGAAUAAAACUCCUAAACACUCUCACCCUCUCUAGCUCCCCCUAACUCCUAACUAACUCUCAUAUGCAAUCUCUCCCCCUUUGGCAUCAAGCGCCAAAAAGCUAAGAAGACGGUGGAUGAGGCGGAGCAGUGGAGUCCCUCGGCACGGCCACGAAGCGAGCUGCAUCAUCUGAACUGUCGGCCGUCGAGGCAGAGGAAGUAGAGUGACCCUCUGAAGCUGCAGGAGCUGGUGAAGCGGUCCGGGUCUGCUCUGGAGCUGUCACAGGUUGUGCUGGCUGCUCGAGUCCGACUGACGAAGCAGGCACGGGCUCGGUCGCGGUAGCUGUCGUCUCAGGUACUGUAGAAGAUGGUGCAAGCUGCUCGGAUGACGCUACAGACGACGACAGAAGCUCUGUAGUGGUAACUGGCACCGUAAAGACUGUAGGGGCCUGCAGAGGAGGAGGCGUAGGGUCACCAGUCAGAGCACUGUAGGUGAAGCUGAGGUGCGGAUCUGUCUACGAGUCCCACACAAGCUGUGAUGCUGAAGCUGACUGAGGAGUGAAGCCUGAGCGGAGAGGAGUAAACUGAGGUACCUGCUCAAAGCCUGAAGAGAUAGCACCCUGAGACACCUGGUGCUGUGGCGUCGAAAAUGGCUGACUCUGAGCUGGUAGCGGGAGAGGCUGCUGAGACGGGCUCUGAGUCUGGGGCGCCGGAGUAGGUGGCCUGACAGUCGAGGUGCCUGGGAGCUGAAUCUGCGGUAGCUGGAUCCCUGAGGCGGCCAUGAGAGCGGCCAUCAUCGCUGUCUGCUGGGCCUGGAAAGCAAGCUGCUGCUCCUGAAAGGUGAGAAGCUGACGCUGGAGCUCAUCCUGCCUGGCCUGCAUGGCUGCAUUGAUGGCAGCCUGGUCCCUGUCUCACCUCGCCUGCUCCUCAGCUGCGCGGCGCUGGUCUGCCCUCAUCCCCUCUAAGAUAGCAAGCAGGGCGGGGUCUGAAGCACUCGAAGAACCGCCUGCCUCGUGGUCGUGUGCUCUGGGAGGGAGAUCUGUCACUGGCGGCUGAUAGUCAUCAUCUGAGCUGUCUGACGCAAAAUCAAACUCUCCCUCAGCCUCUGCAUCGGCGAAAAUUCCAAUCGCUAUGUCCUGCUACUCCUCUGACUCUGCAACUGCUGUUGUACUGCGGGUGCCCCUAGGAGAAGGUGGGGGCACCGGUCCACGUGGAGCACGAGGAGGAGGUGUAGCGCGAAGGUCUUGGUGCGCUCUCAACAUCUGCCUGGGGUCGUAGUGGGGGAAGACGGUGUCUGACUCUGUGAACUCCCUCUGCAAGUGAGCUGGCAGGGGCAGUGGCCUAGCACGAAGUAUAAGCAAGGUGAUCCAAUGUGCGUAGGGCAACUGAUGCUGGCCCCUGAAGCUCUCUGAGAUGGUGUCCUCUAUCUCUGAGACAAUCAGAUCCCAUAGGUCAAACUGUGUCUGAGUGAUGAGGUGAGCAACGAGCCACUGCUGAAUACGAGUGAAUCCGUCUCUGUAGCCUGUCCUAGGGAGAAGAGUCUUCCUCAACACAAAGUCGAGGAUCCUAGCUGGGCGUGUCAAAUCUCCCACUGUCCUGCUGGAGCCCUCCCCAAAAGGUGGACGGAAACAGGGAGUCACGAAGUUAACCGGUGGUACCUCACCACCGUGAGGACGACGAGGGAGAUCCACGUUCCCGUAGCACAGCUGGUGAAUCCUGGUGGGAGAGGCUCGCAGUCCAAGCACCUCUCUAGCCCUCUGAGCUGUCACUCUGUAGUCUGUCCCUGCCAGUGCGUAGUGGAUAUAACUGUGAUCUGGAGAAACCCACACUGACGCGUAGAACUCUCUGACCCACUGCUCACAGUAAGUGCUGGGGAGUGCUAGUAACUCUGGAAGUCCGUGGAGGUAGGUGAAAUACUGACGAAUGUCUGCUCCAACCACGUUCCCCAGUAUCUCUAGGUCUAUCACUCUGUGCUCCCUGAACUGUGCCUGAGAGCGAACCAGUGCCUCGUAGAUGUCCUCCUAGACGACAGUGUAGAACCUGGCACCAGCUCUGGGAUCCCUGGCAGCUGGAAACCAGGUGGGAAACGGAACGAACCUCAGCUGCUGGAUCUCUCUGGCUGACACAAGAGUGAGAUCCCUGUGGAUCCUAACUGGCCUCUGUCGUGAAGCUGGAGUGCCUCUGGCUGGUGUGGCACGAGCAGUGGAGGUAGACUGACUCUGCGUACCAGUCCGAGGAGUGGCCUGGGUACGAGCACGAGUUGACCUCCUGACGGUCUGCUACUGCUCCUGCUCCUGUGCUGGACCCUCUGCCUGGGUCUCUAUCUCAGUCUCUGGAUCCUCCUGAGCCUGAUCCCUAACCACGAGCCUAAUCCUCUGUCCUCCAAUCGUCACGGUGCCAGGAGGGGAUCCAUGGAAUGCCUCUGUCUCAAGAACUGCACGCCGCUGCCGUGGCGUGAGGUCAUCCCCAAUCCUCAGGGCACCUAAACGACCACCCCUCUCGGCUGCCUCAGCCGCGGCUGCAACUGCCUCUGCGACCUCUGUCACUGGCCUUCCGCUUCUUGGUGGCCAGCUUCUUGCCUUUCCCUUUCUCUGCCACUGACAGGCGACGGGGAGGAUCACCUCCACCAUCACCCCCUGGGGAACCUCCUGAGCCAGCUGCCGGACCACUGACGUUCUUGGUACGAGCCAUUGCAAAACAAGCGUCCGACAAACAACAGACUGACAAUGGAGAACAACGCGUUGCAGAUAAUAGACAAGAUAGGGUAUAUAUAAGAAAUUAUAACAACUAGAGGUGAGUGAACCCUAUAGAUCGCAAGAGUAGACGAGGAACGGGAGCGAAUAGCUUAAGAUCCACAAACGAGAUGCGUUCCGGAUGAAAUAUCACGAUCGGAAACUGUCAGAGAACGCGUAUCUUCUCCUUAAGGUGCCGCACAGGGUUAACGAAGAAGAUCGAGGUCAAUAACCCUUUUCUAAUCCAAUGAAACGAAACCUCAAACACCUUAAGGGCAUGAACCAAAGGACUCACCCAAACCCUUGAAAUCUCGCGAAAACAGAUCCACGCGAGAAGAGGAGGGAGGGGGACGAGUCCGCGGCGGAUCUGGCGCGAGGAAACCUCCAAGGACGCCGGAGAUUGGCGUCAACGACGGCGGCGGCGAAGUCGGCGAGAUGGCUUAGGGCUCGGUUGCGGAAGACUUCGCGAGAAGAGAAAGAAAACUAACCGAUCAAGAUCCGGGGGCGCGGGUUAAAUGCGCUGUCCGCGGGGUCACCGGACGCUCUUUAUGUGGCACCGGACGCGUCCGGUGACCACCGGACUCAUGCGCAGAGAGGUCUGCAAAUCUGCAUCGCACCGGACGAUGGGCACCGGACGCUGGCUUUAGCGUCCGGUGCUUCAGGUCACACUAGGUGAGCACCGGACGCACCUCACCGGACGCUGCAGGGACACUGUUCCUGCGUCCGGUGAGUGCAGUCUGGCACACUGUUGGGUAUUUUAAACGCAAACAGAAAAAUCCGCAAGCGCACGGAUACCGAUGUAGCCUUCACCCGGGAGUAUUCCAGAGUAUCGAUUUUCCACAGAGAACGUGAGUGUACUAAUUAAGAUCCAAGAUCGCCCAAGGAUAACUAUAUAAUUAUUUUUGGUGGGAAGAGAGGAAGUUUCCUGAGAGUUCUCUAGUUGAUCUAAGAAUCAAGAAUUACUUCAAGAUUAUCUAUAUCGGGACAUCAGAGCACUAACCACAGAAAGAGAUGAGAAGGGGGCUAGGAAGGUCUGACUACGGUCCUACAAACACCGAUCCGAACGUGGUGGAAUACGUCGACCGUUAGGGCUGUCACUACCCUAAGGCUACCACAACAAUCCGCAGGAUUGGGUGGAAUUCCAGGUAAUUGCAAGACUAAACACCACGUCUAAUCUAUUAAUUACUACUCUAGCGUUAUAAAGACUAGAGCACUUGAUGCAAGCGGGAAUCCAAUAAAUAACUUGAAUAUAAAUAAAAGUAAUUAGAGAACUCAGGAUUAUGAAUUGAAGAACCUGGAGAACGAUGAAGAACGAACCAGAUGCUGCAAAAGUAUAAUGUUGAGGAAGAUCCGACAGAUUCGGCUCCUCCUCCGCUCUCCUCUUCUCUCUCCCUAUUUUCUAGAUUAUAACUAGAACUAACUAGAACUAGAACUAGAGGAACUAGAACUAGAACUAGAUGAACUAGAACUAGAUCUAGAUGAACUAGAGGUAGAACUAGAAGAACUAGAGGGAUCCUCUCUACUUGGAUGAAGAAUUGAAACCCUAGCUUUGAUUCUGUAGAAGAGGUAUGAUCUCCAGGGGCCAGGAGGGUCUGGUUUUAUAGUCCCUUCAAGUGAAUCUGGGCCGUCGGAUCAAACCGACAUUGAUCGCACGGUUUUCCUUGAUCCUUUAGGUCGGUGGAGCGUUGUCCGCGAAACGUGUCCUGAUUGGGCACUGUAGCUGGGCGGGCGCCCAGGAGAGUUGGGCGGGCGCCCUGCCUCCGAGCUCGAUUUCCUUCCCGUUCGUUCCCGUGGCUUCUGGAGUCUUCUAGAUGAUAGAAAAUUGCGCGGCACGUUAAUAUCUCUAUGUAAACCCGACGUGUGGGCCUUUCUUCCGUAUUUCCUGAUAACCCCCUACAAAAAUAGACAAACACCAAAACUCGUGGAAUUCUGUCAGAUAAAACCCUAAGUCUAGGUGUUGGUUGCAUUUGGAUCCUUUUCCAUGAUUAAUUGAUAGUUAAUUGUGAGCAUUAAGGACCGUCAACAAGCUCCCCCAAGCUUAACCUUUGCUCGUCCCUGAGCAAAGAUGAACUCAAGAGUUUCUGCAGUGGUUUCAUAACUUAAAGAUACACAUGCGUUUAAACAAGAUCUCAUCUUUGGUUAGAGUAAACUGUUAAGACUUAAAACUUACUCAUUUACCUUUCACCAUGGGACUUGUAACCGUCACUUCUGUCUUGAGCAGUUAAAAGAUAGAACGGUCUAGUCAAGCGCCAUGUCUCUUGUUCUUCGAUUAACUAUAGCUCUAGAGUUUUUGCAGAUUUUCAAAUAAAACUCAGAGAUUCCUUGUAUGACUCUCUCUAGUCUCUCUUUUGUGGUAUUUCUGGAUCCUUACCAAGGCAGUAAAGGUGUAUGCCUUCUCUCAAAGUAUGUGGUAUUUUUGGUAUGAGUCAUAGUGACAUUGCCUUCUCUCUCACCCUACUCUAAUAAGGUUUUGAUAUCUGGAGCUCAUAGGUGGGAGACAGCUAAUACAUACUUACAAGACAUUUAUUGCAUAGUCAAACCAUGGAUCCAGAAGAACAAGUCAAUAAGUCAAAUCAAGAUGUGCAUGUGUGGCGAAUGAAUGGUGUAUGGUGAUGAUGGUGAUAACAAUGGUGAAAGUCUAAUUCUACUUGUGCUCUUUUGAGGGGAUACAUACCUUUCUUGCUGUUUUGAAACUUUUUGAGGAGAAUGAGAUGCUCUAUAUUUUCUUUUUUUUUCUUUUCUCUCAGGUGGGUAUCUUGUACCCCUAAUUCUACUGUCGGACACUUGUCCAUUUUUACCUCUCGUCUCACUUUUUUUUCUUUCGAGGUUCCGGGCACUUGCCCCUUUUUAUUUCCUUGUAUUCACUUUUUUUUUCUCUCUCUCUUCUUUUUUUAGAGCACUCAUCUCAUGAGAUAAUAUAGCAAGUGGUAGUAACCAAGAUAACUUGAGCAUUUAUUUCAAAGGGGAAAACAGAAAUAUUUUUGGCUAUUCUCUCCCAGAUUAGGAGUAGAAUAUUUUUGAGUGGUUGUGGAGAUGGAAAUGAGUGGAUGUAUGUGGAUGCGUAGAAGCAGCAUGUGUGAGUGAACGUGCAAAUGAAUCUUGAUUUAACCACAUGACAAGCUCCUAAGGGUCUACACAGCUUGACCACACUCAAUGCUCAUAAGCAGUAAAAAGUAAAUGUGUGGCUCAUAGUCUAGCAAGCAUGUAUAUAUGGCUGUGGUAGAAAUUUAAACUCUCAUCAUACAGGAACUCAUCAUGCAACAAUUUAAAGAUUUUCAAAGACAAAAUUCUCCAGAAUUCUAGCAUCUCUAGGAAUAGAUAAACAGCAGCUCAACCUUCCCAUAUCAUAUCCGUUAACGACUUAGAAGUUAUAUCAAAUACUCUUCCCACAAGUUCAGGUUUAGAGCAAAUCUUAAUUAAUAACAGUCAUGCCUAAACUUGAGAGAGAUUUCAAUUUUGAGAACUAGUCAUGACAGAGCAACUAUUCAUCAUUUCCAAGUGAGAGCUUAUCAUGAGGGUUCAUAGCAAAUUUUAUUUAUUUAUUUAUUUAGCAAACUAAGAAAAGAUAUAUAUGCACAAAAUCUUUAUUUAGGUUUAUAUGAUUAUGCAUCUUUUUAUUAUUAGAGUAAAGUAUAAACGUGAGUAGAAUACUUAGCUGGAUAAAUGGGGGUGCUCUCCCCUAAACUGGAUUUGACGCAAUUUCUUCUAAUGUAGCUAGCAGGUGGCGGAGGUGUAUUUGAAUGUCGGCAGCACCCUGACAGUGAUUAGGAUGCCCUCCGUCUACUAGUCUUCUUUGAUCCUUGAAUUCUGUGGAGCUCAAAUAGACAACAAAGCUUUGUGGAACUAGUUAAGUGUUAGCAUAAAUAUCUAGCCUUUAUCAUGUUGAGCCUCCUCAAUAAAUGUUACUCUCUUUAGUAGGAUCAUAAAUUUAUUUUUAUAUUUUCAUUUAUAUAGGACAGGAAUAUAUAUAUUUAUUUUUACGCCACCACAGUGAAUGUACUUAUGGGUUUUAUGCCAUGAGCAUACUCACAUGGGGCUUACUAUUUUUAACAUUUUUAUUUUCUUUUCAAGAUAGCAUGAACCUGGUUAACUAAGCAAACUAUUUUAAAUAAUUGAAAGGAAAAGGAUAACUACCAAGUUUACCUCUUGGCAAGGCGUUCGGUGUUUUUAAGUCCUCCGAACGAGACUCUCUGUUUUCUCAAUCGUCCUGGGAUUCGAUGGAUGGCGUAGUCGGUGGUUCCGGCGGUGCCUGGUCUUCGUGUAUAACUAUCUUCUCUCUCCACACCUGACUCGGUGCUACGGUAUCCUCAGGACAGUUCUGUUCAAGCUUUAUGUCUUCAGACCUUACAACUUCUCCUUCAUAGUCUACCCAUCCGUCCUUGAUGAUUUUGCCUUCUCUGGUUACGGUUGCGUCGUCUUCUUCUUGUCCUGACCUGCUUAGAGUCGUCAACUAUAUAAUUAAGGUCAGUAAAAUAGCGGCGUACCUUGUUAGAGGGCAAGUUCAUGUGGACUUCUCCGGUUCCAAUGUAGAUGAUUGCUUUAACGGUGCUGAGGAACGGUCUCCCAAUGGUGAUGGGUGGAUUGUACUCGUCUUCUCCCAUGUCAAUAACCUUAAAAGCAUCUGGAGCUGAAUGUAUGUUGGUUGUAGGGACAUGGUUCUAUGCAGGAGCUGAUAAGUGACUGCGGCCAUUAUGUUGACGUUAGAUCCGGUGUCGUAGAGUGUCUUCUGAAAAGAAUAUCCGUUGAUUGUGCACUCGAUGCUUGGCAUGCCUGGGUCGUCCUUUUUGGUCAGGAACGGUGACUUAAAUAGAUGAUCUUGACCUCCUUGAACUGCAGUGACCAUCUUAGCUGACUCGGUCCACACUUGCUUGUUCCUGUUCCUCCUGUUGGUCCUCUUCCUUGGUUCAUGUCGGAAAUGCUCUGAGAUUUGUGUAGUUUUGUUCUUGAAGGAAAACAUCUCCUUCUUCCCCUUGAUGUAGAAACUGAUCUUGGCAGCACUAGUGUAGAUGAUAGCUCCCAAGGUGUUCACGAAUGGCCUCCCUAGGAUGAUGGGUGCCCUCUCAUCAGUAUCAGUCUCUAUCACCACCAAGUCUAUUGGAGCGUAUAAGAUACCAACUCGGACGUAGAGGUUCUUCAAUAUUCCCUUUGGGAAACUUAGUGUCUGAUCUGCAAGCUGCAAACACAUGGUUGUUUCUUAUAAAGGAUGUGUAAAGAAUUUUUCAUAGAGUACCCUGGGCAUAAUGUUGAUGCUGGAGCCAAAGUCACAGAGUGCUUCUGGGAAGUCCACCAUGCCGAUGGAGAUCGGGAUGACAGGGCGUCCUGAUUGUCUCUCUUGACCGACAGAAAUUCAGUAAUUACUUCCACAAUGAGGUUACUCCAGUAGUUACAUCCUCAAGCAUCUCAGGGCAGUGUUUGCAUGAGUGUCCAGUAUCUCCAGCGUGUUUGUGCUCAUAGAUCGAUGUUCUUCACUUUGGUGGAGUCUGGGAGUUGUAAAACUCCUUCAUAUUUUGCUCAAAGUGUACCUACUCAUAGAGACAAGGCAGAGAUCAAGUGCAUGGGCCCUGUUGGUGGAAAACACCAACAGAACCAAAAGUGUAUUUGCUCUUCUCUAUCCUUAAGCAUAGUGAGCAAGACAAAGUUGAUGGAUAAUAAGAUCAUAAGUGUAGCAUUUAAAAUAUUUGUCAGAUCAGAUCACUCAACCUAAUGGAAAGAUAAUCUAUCUAUACAUAUGUUUUGUUUAUAUCUUCCAAAGAUUGAGUGUGCAACAUUUUAGCUUAUAUGAUUAGGAGUAUGGGAUCACAAAGGUGGAAGGUCUAAACAUGUUGAAUCGAUUAGGUUGGUUAAUCUAGAGUUGUAAAUCAUACAUGUUUGUCUCUUUUAUUCAUGUGAACGCCAGAACAAAGGAGAAGCUUAUAAAAGUGAUAGUCAAGUACCUUAAGAUGUUACCUUACUUGAAGAGUGAUGGUACAGUAUCACCUUGUGGAAGCUUUCCUCUCUUAGCGGUUGUGCAUCGUGUUUGUGGCACCUCCAUGGAUCAUCUCUUGUGAGCUAUGCCUUCCUUGUGUAAAUUGUUAAACUUCAUGUGUGUCUCUCUUUGUCUCCAAUGUGAGUUUAUCUAAGGACUUUCCAGGUCGAUAUUGAAAGUUUUCCUACAGGGGUUAGUCCAACAAAAUAUACCAAUGUCUACACAAGCAGUUUUUAGUUCAAUAACCAAACUAGACUCCAUGUCUAAUUAGAUUAAGGAAGGCUGUUUAACCUAAGCACCAUGCUUAAUUUAAAAACCAAUAGAAGUAUGUACAGUACUUCCAAACUAACACUUACUAGGAUAAACAAAGGUAGCGUGAUGGCUUUUAUAGAGAUCUAUUCAAGUGGAGAUGAAGUAGUGUGAUUAGUAUUUAACAAAUUGAGCAUGUCUCAAAGGUAGGGACAACCAACAUAGCAACAUGGCAAAGGAUGUUUUUAAUGUAAAGUACUCCCCCAAGCUUGAAUUUUGCAAAAUUCAAGUUUGGAUGAAUUUAAUUCAAUGUUGUAUGAUGAUUGGUUGGACAUACCUUGUGCUUGUCAUUCAUCCGAUCUUCUUGCUCCAAUCCUGAAAAGGUUAGUGACAAGAAUACCCGAAGGAAUUUUUUACAAUUAUCCUUAUAUGCUCAAUACACAAGGUAAUGUUGUAAAUAAUUAAAAGCUCAUGUUACGAUCUGAUCAGUGCUUAUUUUAGGACACUAAGCUUGUCCUUGGGAAACCAUCAAUUUAUGUCAGUGAAGUGGUUUCCCCUCCAACGCUGACCUAUAUCAAGAUCAACUCAACGAGAUCUGCAAUAUUUAAUAUAGACAUAUGCAUCGACAACCGCCCUUUUAAAGUUUUUAUGAAUAGAAAGGAAGAGGGGGUUGGAGAUCUCAAAUGUGGUGAUGCUGAGAGACCAAUGGAUUGUGAAGAUGUUGCAUAUAAGCAUGGAGUAAAUGAAGUGGCUAUGAAAUAAAUUCCAUGCUCAUUAAUGCUUAGAGUGAAAUCCAUGUGGUAUGGUGAAAGUGAUAAGGUGAGUGUGGUAAAAAAAGAAAAGAAAAAGGAUACACGGACGACUUGGUUCGAAACUAGCACAACUACCAUUCCCCGGCAACGGCGCCAGAAAGCUUGUUGGGCAUUUUAAACGCAAACAGAAAAAUCCGCAAGCGCACGGAUACCGAUGUAGCCUUCACCCGGGAGUAUUCCAGAGUAUCGAUUUUCCACAGAGAACGUGAGUGUACUAAUUAAGAUCCAAGAUCGCCCAAGGAUAACUAUAUAAUUAUUUUUGGUGGGAAGAGAAGAAGUUUCCUGAGAGUUCUCUAGUUGAUCUAAGAAUCAAGAAUUACUUCAAGAUUAUCUAUAUCGGGACAUCAGAGCACUAACCACAGAAAGAGAUGAGAAGGGGGCUAGGAAGGUCUGACUACGGUCCUACAAACACCGAUCCGAACGUGGUGGAAUACGUCGACCGUUAGGGCUGUCACUACCCUAAGGCUACCACAACAAUCCGCAGGAUUGGGUGCAAUUCCAGGUAAUUGCAAGACUAAACACCACGUCUAAUCUAUUAAUUACUACUCUAGCGUUAUAAAGACUAGAGCACUUGAUGCAAGCGGGAAUCCAAUAAAUAACUUGAAUAUAAAUAAAAGUAAUUAGAGAACUCAGGAUUAUGAAUUGAAGAACCUGGAGAACGAUGAAGAACGAACCAGAUGCUGCAAAAGUAUAAUGUUGAGGAAGAUCCGACAGAUCCGGCUCCUCCUCCGCUCUCCUCUUCUCUCUCCCUAUUUUCUAGAUUACAACUAGAACUAACUAGAACUAGAACUAGAGGAACUAGAACUAGAACUAGAUGAACUAGAACUAGAUCUAGAUGAACUAGAGGUAGAACUAGAAGAACUAGAGGGAUCCUCUCUACUUGGAUGAAGAAUUGAAACCCUAGCUUUGAUUCUGUAGAAGAGGUAUGAUCUCCAGGGGCCAGGGGGGUCUGGUUUUAUAGUCCCUUCAAGUGAAUCUGGGCCGUCGGAUCAAACCGACAUUGAUCGCACGGUUUUCCCUGAUCCUUUAGGUCGGUGGAGCGUUGUCCGCGAAACGUGUCCUGAUUGGGCAUUGUAGCUGGGCGGGCGCCCAGGAGAGUUGGGCGGGCGCCCUGCCUCCGAGCUCGAUUUCCUUCCCGUUCGUUCCCGUGGCUUCUGGAGUCUUCUAGAUGAUAGAAAAUUGCGCGGCACGUUAAUAUCUCUAUGUAAACCCGACGUGUGGGCCUUUCUUCCGUAUUUCCUGAUAACCCCCUGCAGAAAUAGACAAACACCAAAACUCGUGGAAUUCUGUCAGAUAAAACCCUAAGUCUAGGUGUUGGUUGCAUUUGGAUCCUUUUCCAUGAUUAAUUGAUAGUUAAUUGUGAGCAUUAAGGACCGUCAACACACACUCACCGCACCGGACGCACAGAGGCAGCGUCCGGUGCUCCUCUGAGCACUUUUUCAACUAAGUACCACGUCCGACUUUGACCCAACCAAGUUCCAUCUUCAAUAACACACAAAUAAACACCAAAUGGAAUUGGUAUGAGUGACUUCUCUCAAACCCUCAAAUUUUCACAAAUAUUUAGCCAUAGGCUUAGUAGUUUUUAUGAAAAUAAUUCGAGAAAAUCACCAAGGAGCAUCAUAUGGCCAUAAAGCUUGGGGUUUAAAUCACAAUGGGCUUUGAAUGCUCCCCCUAUCUAAGGACGAACACAGCGGAUGCUCAACGAACAACCGAAAAGAAACGGUCAACUAACAAGCAUGCAUAUGAUAUGAGUUGUAAUGCAAUACUUGAAAGUAAACUAAUGCUUGUCAAGUUUGAUCCAAGGUUAAGCUUUUUCACACACACAAGGGGGUUAUCUUAACCAUGUUAGACAAGCCCUAUAUGCAAGUUGGAUUUUAGUUUUAGUAUGCAUGAUAUGCCAAGCAAAAGUUAUUUACAAGAUUCAACACACAACUUUUUAUCUCUUAAUGAAGUUGGAUAGGUCAAGCACAUUAAGUUCAUUUCUCAACAUACAAAACCUAGCUUCAUCUAGGGGUUUUGUGAAGAUAUCCGCCAAUUGAUUUUCCGUUCCCACAUUCUCUAGAGAUAUGUCACCUUUAGCAACAUGAUCCCUAAGGAAGUGGUGGCGGAUGUCAAUAUGUUUUGUGCGGGUGUGUUGAACCGGGUUGUUUGCAAGUUUUACAGCACUUUUGUUGUCACACAACAAAGGUACUUUGUCUAGUACUACUUCAUAGUCUAGCAAAGUUUGUUUCAUGUAGAGUAUUUGUGCACAACAAGCACCGGCAGCAAUGUAUUCCGCCUCGGCCGUUGACAAGGCAACACUAUUUUGUUUCUUUGACAUCCAAGAGACAAGUGAUCUACCUAGGAAAUGGCACUCUCCGGAUGUGCUUUUUCUAUCAAUCCGGCACCCGGCAUAAUCCGAAUCGGAAUAGCCUACAAGUUGGAAUCUUGCACCUUUGGGAUACCACAAGCCUAGGCAAGGUGUGUAUUUUAGAUACCUAAGAAUUCUCUUGACCGCGAUCAAGUGAGAUUCCAUAGGCAUUGCUUGAUAUCUUGCACACAUACACACACUAAACAUUAUAUCGGGCCUAGAUGCGGUGAGGUAGAGUAGACUUCCUAUCAUGGAGCGAUAGAGAGUCUUGUCAAUUGGGUUACCUCCCUCAUCCAAGUCGAGAUGCCCAUUUGAUGCCAUGGGAGUCUUGAUUGGCUUGCAAUCCAUCAUCUUGAACCUCUUGAGAAGAUCUUGAGUGUACUUCUCUUGAGAGAUGAAGACCCCUUCCUUCAUUUGCUUGACUUGAAAUCCUAGGAAGAUGGAUAGCUCACCAAUCAUGGACAUCUCAAACUCCUUGGACAUCAAAUCACCAAAUUCCUUGCAAAAAUCUUCAUUAGUAGAGCCAAAAAUAAUAUCAUCAACAUAAACUUGGCAAAUGAAGAUUUCCCCAUUCAUUUUCUUGGUGAAGAGUGUUGUGUCAACUUUCCCAAUCUUGAAGCCCUUCUCAAUGAGGAAGUCCCUAAGCCUCUCAUACCAAGCUCUAGGAGCUUGCUUGAGACCAUAGAGAGCCUUAGAUAACCGGUAGACAUGCUUGGGGUACCUAGGGUCUUCAAAACCGUGGGUUGCUCAACAUAGACAAGCUCAUUAAUAUAUCCAUUUAAAAAGGCACUUUUCACAUCCAUUUGAAAUAACUUGAUAUCAUGACUAGAUGCAUAUGCAUGUAGGAUACGGAUUGCUUCAAGUCUUGCCACCGGUGCAAAGGUUUCACCGAAGUCAAGACCUUCCACUUAUGAAAAGCCCUUUGCCAUGAGCCUUGCCUUGUUGCGCACCACUUUGCCUUGAUCAUCCUUCUUGUUCCGGAAGACCCACUUUGUUCCAAUCACUCUUGCAUCUUUUGGUCGCUCUUCAAGUGUCCAUACUUGAUUGCGCGAGAAGUUGUUCAACUCCUCUUGCAUGGCCAUGAUCCAAUCCGCAUCACGAAGAGCUUCCUCUAUAGUUUUUGGUUCAUCUUCAAGAGACACAAAAGCGUGAUGUUCAAUAAAUAAAGCAUGUCUAGAACGAGUAGUUACACCACGUGAUGGACUCCCGAUGAUGAGAUCUUGAGAGUGAUCUUGGAGGAGAUGUGAUGUUCUUCUUGGUGCCACUUGAGGGAUUGGUUGGGGAGCAUCAACAUCUUGUGCUUGUGCCACCGCUUGCUCAUGAGUGACUUGUGUGUCUUCAUGAGCAUCUCUCACAUCCUUGUCUUCAUUUUGUGGACCUUGUGAGGUGGAUGGUGGCUCAAUGACUUGUACAUCAUUAUCAUCUUCUUUAGGCUUGAUGUCUCCCACGGGUAUGUUCUUCAUCGCAUCCCUCAAUGGUUCCCCACCUACAUCAUCAAGAUUAUCACUUGCUCCUUGGGAGCCAUUAGUUUCGUCAAAUUCAACAUCAAAAGUUUCUUCAACCAUGUUUGUGGCAUGGUUAAAGACUCUAUAUGCCUUGGACUUUGAUGAAUAGCCAACCAAAUAGCCAAUGUCACAUCUUCUUUGGAAUUUUCCCAAGUGUUGGCGCUUCUUGUAGAUGUAGCAUUUGCAUCCAAACACUCUAAAGAAUGAGACAUUGGGCUUCUUCCCAUUGAGCAACUCAUAUGGUGUCUUCUCUAGGAACUUGUGAGGAAAGAGCCGGUUUGAAGCAUAGCAUGCGGUGUUGAUUGCCUCGGCCCACAUCUUCUCCGAAGUGUUAUACUCAUCUAGCAUUGUUCUUGCCAAGGUGAUCAAUGUCCGGUUCUUUCUUUCUACAACCCCAUUUUGUUGUGGUGUGUAUGUUGAGGAGAACUCAUGCUUGAUUCCCACUUCAUCACAAUACUCUUCAAUGUUGGUGUUGUCAAACUCAUUGCCAUUGUCACUUCUAAUUUUCUUGAUCUUCACAUCAAAUUGAUUUUGGGCAUUCUUUGCAAACUUCUUGAAUAUUGAUGCAACUUCAGCUUUGUCUUGCAAGAAGAAUGUCCAAGUGUACCGAGAGAAAUCAUCAACUAUGACCAAGCAAUAUUUGUUGCCUCCAAGACUAGCAUAUGUGGUUGGUCCAAACAAAUCCAUAUGAAGUAGCUCAAGCACUAUUGAAGUGGAGAGAUAGGCUUUGGUUGGAUGAGUGUUCGCAACUUGUUUCCCCGCUUGACAUGCACUACAAAGCUUGUCUUUUUCAAAUGUCACAUCCUUCAAGCCUCUAAUCAAUUCUUUCUUCAUCAACUUCUUGAGUGUGCCCAUUCCAACAUGUGCUAACCUUCUAUGCCACAACCACCCAAGUGAAGUCUUGGUGAAUAAGCAAGUCUUGACAUCAACUUCAUCGGAUGAGAAAUCAACUACAUAUAAGUUGUUGUGCCAGAAGCCUUUGAAAAUCACUUCAUUGUCAUCUUCCUUGGUCACAAUUACUUCCUUCUUCUUGAAUAGGCAUUCAAAUCCAAGGUCACAUAAUUGUCCAACCGAGAGCAAGUUGAAACUCAAAGAUUGCACAUAGAGCACAUUGGUGAUGGAGUUGUCAUUUGAUAUAGCAACCUUUCCUAGUCCCUUGACUUUUCCUUUUGAAUUGUCACCAAAUGUGAUCUUCUCUUGGUUGUCAACAUCUUCAUCAAGAGAGGUGAACAUCCGAGGAUCUCCAGUCAUAUGUUGAGUGCAACCACUAUCAAUUACCCAAUGUGAUCCACCGGUCUUGUAGUUCACCUACACACAAGAGAUCAAGCUUGAGAUUUAGGGACCCACAUUUGCUUAGGGCCCUUGACCUUCUCUACUAGUUGCUUUGGCACCCAAAUCUUCUUUGGCCUUUGCUUGUUGGGCGGCCCCAUGAAGCUAACCUUGACCUUGCCACACUUGUCUUUUGUUACAAUGUAAUGAGCAUUGAAGGAAAAUGGUCUUGCAUGCUUGGGCAAGGGUGGUGGUAGUGGUGCCUUACACUCAUGAGCAAAGUGUCCUUCUUGACCACACUCAAAGCAUCUCUUUGGCUUUGGCUUGCUUGGUUGAUCAUGAGUGGCUAGAGACUUGAUGAGCUUUGUUUGAUGACCUUUAUAGCCAAUCCCACUAUUGUCCAUCUUCAUGACGGUGUUCAUGAAAAGCUCACUUUGAAGGUCUUUCCCUUUGGUGAACUUUGCUAACCCCAUGGUUAAAUGUUCCUUCUCUUUCUUGAGCUUGUUGUUCUCUUGAGUUAGCUUCUUGAUGAUUGGGUCAUUGUUGCUAGCUAACUCAUCCAAGAUGAAAGUUUCAUCUUCUUCUUGCUUGUCAUACAUCAAACCAAGCUUGAGAUAUUGAUUUUCUUCCUCGAGCAACUUGUUCUCAUAUGCAAGCUUCUUAUCUUGGUCAAGUGACUCAAUCACAAUGGUCUUGUGCUUGACUUGUUCUUGCAACUCUUUCUUGAGCUUGACAAUUUCAUUCUUGAGCUUGAUAGUGUCCUCAUAGCUCUCGGCCACUACCACUUUCUUGCCCUUGCAAUCAACACAUUUGCUUGUGCUCUCCACAAGUAAGUCAUCACAAGAUGUGGCUACAUCAAGCUUAGCAACAUUGUUAGUAGCAACAUGUGUUUCAUCAAUUGCAAGUUCAUAAGCAAUCUCAAGGUUGUCAUAGUUUGCUUUUAGAGUUGUUAGCUCUUCUUUCAUUGCUCUAUAUCUAGUGAUAAGCUCAUCAUGAACACUCUCAAGUUUAUCAUGUUUUUCUUUGAGCUCUUUUAGAGAGAGUUUGAGCUCCUUGAGCUUGGUGGUCAUGAUCUCAUUUUGGUCUCUAAGCUCAUCACUAGAUUUAAGCUUUGCUAGAAGAGUGUCAUUUUCAAGUUAAAGCUUUUCAUUUUCACUUCUAGUUUUUCUUAUGACUUUUGUGUACUUGUUUAGAAUUUUACAAGUUCAUCAUAAGAAGGUGAUUCAUAUUCACUAUCACUUUCACUACUCUCAUCCUCACUUUGUACCUUCCGGUCACCCUUAGCCAUAAAACAUAGGUGUGUAGAGGAUGUAGAUGGUGGUGAAGAUGAUGGUGAUGGAGCAUCGAUGGCAAUGGCGGCAACCUUCUCAUCAUCACUUUCAUUGCCGGAGGAGUCACCACUUGAGCUUUCAAUGUCGGUGAGCCAAUCACCAACAAUGUAGGCCUUGCCAUUCUUCUUCUUGUAGUGCUCCUUCUUCUUGCCACCUUUCUUCUUGUAUUGCUUCUUCUCAUUCUUGUCAUCAUCAUUUGAGUCAUCUUGCUCUUUGUUCUUCUUUUUGUACUUGUCCUUCUUGGGCUUUGGACAUUGACGAGCAAGAUGACCAAGCUCACCACAAUUGUAGCAAUCCAUCUCGGAGAUGGGCUUCCUCUUGCUACUUGUGAAGAACUUCUUCUUCUUGGAGUCAAAGUUGACUCCAUUCUUGUUGAGCUUCUUCAACAUCUUUGUGGUUCUUCUCACCAUGAGGGCAAUAGAUGCAUCAUCAUCACUUGAAGUUGAUGACUCAACUUCAUUCUUCUUAGCCUUGCCCUUGUGAGAAGCCUUGAGAGCCAAGUCCUUCUUCUCUUUCUUGGCCGAUGAGGAGCCAUCUUGGGGGUUCAUGUGCAUGUACAUCUCAUGAGCAUUGAUCUUUCCCAAUAUGGCGGUUGGUGUAGCGGUGGAAAGAUCUUCUUGAUGAAGCACCGUUACUAUGUGCCCAUAUUUUUCAAUGGGAAGCACACAUAGUAUUUUCCUUGCUACAUCCGCCGCAUUCAUUUGAGUGAGUCCAAGUCCAUUUAGCUCCUCUACAAUGACAUUCAAGCGAGAAUACAUUUCAUUAGCAUUUUCUUUGGGAAGCAUUUCAAAAGUAUUAAGCUUGUUCAUCACUAAGUGAUAGCGUUCCUCGCGUUCACUCUUUGAUCCCUCAUGGAGCGCACAAAGUUCCUUCCAAAGAGCAUUGGCGGUUUUGUGGCUCCGAACGCGGUUGAACACCUCCUUGCAAAGGCCUCUAAAGAUGUGGUUUUUGGCCUUCGCAUUCCACUUCUCGUUUUCUUGCUCUUGUGGAGUAAGAGCGGUGGCUCUUUCCAGAGGGGCAAACCCUUCGGUCGUGGCUUUUAGGCACUUUACAUCGCAUGCCUCAAGGUAUGACUCCAUCCGUAUUUUCCAAUACGGGAAGUCAUCCCCAUCGAACAUGGGUGGCGGUCCAUCCCCGUUAGACAUCUUUCUCUAGGCGGUGAAGCCUAAAUAAUGAGCACUAGGCUCCGAUACCAAUUGAAAGGAUCAAGAUGCCCAAGAGGGGGGUGAAUUGGGCUUCUCUAAAAAUUUAAGCAACCUAUAAGCUCCAAUUCAACCCCUUGUGCCUAGUGUGACCUAGAGAGCUACCGGAUAAAAAGUUUUGCAACCUAGUUCCAAUCCUAUUCUAGCAUGGCAAUUCUAAGAAUGUAAAAGCACAAAGUAAAUGCUAGAAAGUAAAGGAGUAGUGGAAGAAAAUGCUCGGCGAUGUUUUGCCGAGGUAUCGGAGAGUCGCCACUCUCCACUAGUCCUCGUUGGAGCACCCGCGCAAGGGUCUUGCUCCCCCUUGGUCCGCGCAAGGACCAAGUGCUCUCUACGGGCUGAUUCUUCGACACUCCGUCGCGGUGAAUCGCCCAAAACCGCUCACAAGCUUGACACGAGCCACCCACAAGAACUCCGUGCGGUCUUCGUGCCUCCAAUCACCACCGAACCGUCUAGGUGAUGGCGAUCACCAAGAGUAACAAGCAAAUAACACUCACUUGACCCAAACAAGGCUCUAGAGAGUGGUGGAUGCACACUUGACUCUUGGAACUCACUAGAGAAGGAUUCUCUCAAGAAAUCACUCAAACUUCAAUCCUCUCUAGGCUCUUGCAACUCUCUUGCUCCACAACAAGUUUAAUUCUCUGAUGUUCAAAUGGGCAAGAGACCUCUCAUGGACGAGGUGGAGGAGUAUAAAUACUAUCCACGAAGUCUAAAGGUCGGCCAACCGUUUUCCACUGAAAACGGGGUCACCGGACGCACAUUAUGUUGCACCGGACGCACUGCACCGAGCGUCCGGUGCUUCAUAACGGCUACCAGAACUUCUCCCUGACAGGUCAUCGGACACUAACUCCCAGCGUCCGGUGCACCGUCCGGUGCUCGGGGGAACUUUACAAGCUCCCUGCGCAUGGGACCGGACGCUACCCGGUGCGUCCGGUGCUCAGGGAAGGCUUGCAACCUCCCUGGGUAUGGGACCGGACGCUACCCGGUGCGUCCGGUGCUAGCGUCCGGUGCCUAACCCUAAGCACCACACUGUUCCAACGGCUAAGGACCUCACCGAACGCACUCACAGAGCGUCCGGUGCCCCUUUGGGAACCCAAACUUCGUCGAAACGCGAUCGCUCCAAAACGAAGUUGGUUCCUCUCGAUCUAAGGACUAUCUCUGAGCUGCCUAGUGCUAGGUUUACCAAGUGUGCACCACACCUAAACCUAAAGCCUUGCCUAAGUCAAGCUACUAGAUCAAAGCCCCUCUUAAUAGUACGGUCAAAGGAAAACAAAGUCCUAAACUAUUCUAAGUGCCCUUCUUCAUCAUAUGGCACUUAGACCUAGUCUAGUCUUGACGAUGUCCAUCCAUCCUUUGAAAACCGAAAACGAUUUCCACUAUUAAGUAGGCAUGUUCAUCCCUGUCCAUCGAGUACCUAUUUACCAUGACCUUACCUAUGACUUUGCCUCUGCAAAACACACGUUAGUCAUAGUAAUCAAUAAUGUCAUUAAUCACCGAAAUCACUAGGGGCCUAGAUGCUCUUUCACCAGGGAACUCCUCAGUACACACAUCUGUUACCCAUCCGGGAUUUUCAUUGAAAUAUAAACAAGUGUAAGCGCACCAUGCUUAGCAAGUAUAACAUCGAGGUAUAUAUAGGCUCAAAGGCUUGACUCAGUUUAAUAGCGAUUAGCAUUUUAGUUGGUCAUAUUUUAUUACCCAAGACUUGUUACUUUUAAUGAGAGACCAACCCUGGUUACAUAAGUGUUAAUCAAAGUUAUUACCUUUCCCAAGUAUAGCCAAGUAACCGCUAACCAAGAAGGAUCCAGGCCGCUCAUGACCGAGAGCUCGGCUGUUAUAACAGGUUUAGAUUUCUGCAGAAAUUGUACAACUUUACCCCCGAGCCGUGGUUCCCUAGUGUUGGGGUUUGCAAGGCCCACACCACUUCUACCGAGGAAGUGUGACCAGGUUCCAUUACUUAACCUUUCACUAGUCACCCUAACAAUAUAGUAGCCGCGAGGUUUCAGUGGCAAGUGUGCAUAGAUGGCCUCCUUCAAGAGGCACAUGUGGUCGCGACACUGUACACACCCAGGUAGGAGUGACAUCUAUACACCACGAGGCACCCCCCUCUAGCGCCUUUCGGUAACUAAUAAACUGCUAGAGACAUACUAGUUAUAUGAUUAAGGUCAGAGCCAUUUGACUCUCGGGAUUGUACGUGACCUCCUGGGUGGCCGCUUCAGGAUUAAGUCCUUAUGGAGAGGAAUCUAGAGCUUGCAAAACCGAAGCUCUAGCCCCCUGAACCAAGUUACUAGAACAUAUUUUAUCACAUUGCAUAUACCAAUUAAUCAGGUUAAUUUAUUAACUUGGGUUUUUCAGCGUAGCAGGAACUACCUAAAUAAAUGCACACCUUCCCAUGGGUAUCAAGGAUUUGUGGUACAAAAUUAUCUAGGUAAAGUCCUUAUAGGUAUUUCAAUUUAGACACAUGCAUAUGUAUGAAUUAAAUAAUAUUCAUAGGUACAAGGAAGCCUAUAUUACACUUGCCUUCCUCAAAAUUUUCCUCCUGGUAGAGCUCCACAAACUGCUCCUCAACCACUCCAACCUGAUCUCCUUCUAUUAACGAUCCAAACACCAAUCAAGCAUCCAGUCCAAUCAUCACAUGCAUACAAAUAAAGUUCUAUUAGAACAGUACACCAAACAGUAAAAACAGUGACUGAAAGAUAUAUAAAUCUACUCUACGCCUUUCUACGAACACAUGACCGAAAGAAUCACUCUAAUCGGACUUAAAACGUGAAAGUUAUGCAUAAAACAAAAUGAAUGGCAUUUAUGUGAAUAAACUGAAUCAAAAACGAAUUUAAAAGAACUAAAACUAAAUUUCCAAUGGUUCUAGACUACGUGCACUAUUAUAUAAAAGUAUAGGGUUUAAAACAGAAGAAAACAUGAUUAAAAAGAAAUACUUUUGAACUAAGUUGGACUGCGGGUUGAUUUGCUUGAAACAGGGGGGUUAAAGCGCAAAACUCCCAGUGGUCCGCGGCUGACCGCGCUGCUGGCCGGCAGAGGGGCCACGUGGCGUGCUGGGGUUGGCUCGGUCCACCACUGUGCGCGUGGACCGGCCGACCGAGCGCCCGUGGACCGCGCCCAUGGCCCACGGUGGACCGGUUACAUAACUCCGAAGGGGUAUGUAAUCUGGGCCGUUAGAAACAGAUCGGAUGGCCCUGGAUGAAAGGAGGCGGGGCGCUCGCCUGAGCCGAGGCUGACCAUUGCGGCGCCAUUGCCGCCGACGAGGUGAGCUCCUCGGAGCUCGCCGGAAACACGUUCCCGGCCACGCCAAAUAAAAAGGAGACUACCACGGUGACCAGCGCGACGAGGCGAACACGAUAGGGUAAAAAGAAAGGGCGGGGAGCACGUCGGGACGACGGCCCCGUGGUGGCGCCACUUCCACACCCUCGGAGAGCCUCGGAUUCGGUGUUAGAGCGCCCUAAAUUCACGAUUAAAGACAUGGGGAGCAUCGGGGCUAUACCGUGGUCCCGUUGGAGGUGUUCGCAGCGUCCGAGAAAACUCCGAGCGGCGUGGCCACGAGCGAGGCGGGCUGGGAAGAGAGAGACAGCGAUGGUGAGCUCGGUUUCGACCAAAUCGUGAAGAAAGGUAGAGGGGAAGUGUACCUACGGCCGCGGUAUCGCCAGGCGAAUGUGUUGUGCACGUUCGCAGCGUCCACCGUGCCCUUAAGACGGAGAAUUUGGGGGGGUUGAGCUUGGUUCACGAACGGAAGGAGGAAAGGAGAGCUCGGCCGCGAGCUUUAUAGGGCGAGCAGGGGCACUGAGGGGGCGAACACUCGGGCGAUUAAGCCCGGCAUCAAGGCGGCUUGAAGGCCGAUUGAUGGCCUCCAUCAAUCGGAGCUUGAAGGCUGGGGGGAAAGAAGUGAUGGCGUUGAAUGUCGCCGUGCUCUCGGCUCAGCGAGGAAGAAAGGGGAGACGCUGACAAGCGGGCCCCACGGCGCAGUGAGAGAGAGAUGGGAAGGGAGAGCGCCGAUAGGCGGGCCCUACUGCGCAGUGAGAGGGAGAAUGGGGAGGGCGCGCGGGCUGUCCGCGUCGGAGCGGGCCGCGCCACUGGGCUGUGUGCGCGUCGCGGGCGAGGGGCGGGGAGCUGGGCCGCCAACGGCCCAAGGCCAGGGGUGAGCGCGGGGUAUAGCUGGGCCAGGGUUUGGGGCCGGGCCAAAAUCGGUGAAGGGGAUAAAAAUAAAAGAGAAACUCUUUUAUAUUUUUCAGAGCUGUAAAUUUGUAUAUAUUCUAUCAAAUUGAUUUUUAAACCAAACAACCUAGUCUUACCAUCAAUCAAAAUAUGAUGCACCAGCAUGAAUGCAGCAUUUCAUGUUUCUAGACCUUAUAGUUUAUUUUAAAUAAUUCCAAAAAUUGUUAUUUUGCCUAAACAAUUCUCAAUAAUUCCUAUAAUUAUGCCAAAUUAAAUACUAAUUUGAAAAUAAAUUUUCAGAGUGUUACAUGCGGUGGCACACAACGUUCUCCCAUAACAUAACUAGCGUUCUUGGCGGGCACGUGGUUAGCGUACCUGUAGAAAACUCAUUUCAGCCCAACUAUAGUAUGAACAUGCAGAGCAAGAAUUUAGAGCUAUACACCCCACACACAUAGACACCACAUCCAUGCAUAUGGUGUGUUACUACCCACAUCAUCGCCCUAGUGACGACAUCGCCUCUUAGGACAGAAUCUCCCAACAUGCGGUACUGCUCCCAGGCACACCAAACAUGCGUGCAUGAAACAACCCUAAUAUCACUUCCCUAGAUCGGCAGUGUAUCCGAUCAUGCUCUCACAGCUCCCACUUACCGAGGCGUAGAGGAAAAAUUGAUCCAUACAUUACCACUCAAAUGAAUGGCACUCAUACUAUUGCACGCCGUAUGAGCGACGAAAAUAUAAAUAUGAUGCAUAACCCCCAAGUCAGUACUUAACUAGCCACCUUAGAGUCCUUAACUGGGCAUAAAAGAUAUGACCAUGGCACACCGUGUAGUUUUCCAAAAACUCAUUUUAACACCUCGAUUAUCAUUAAUUGCAUAGUUAACUUUUAUUAACCGGUUUAAGUUUAGUUUAGAACGUACUUAUGAAAAGUAACUCGCUAAACCUUGCUUCGAUGUCAGCUGUAACAGAACCGCCCAAAUUAUAAGAGAUUAAGCCUAAUGGUGACCAUUUGCACAGUCGAACCAUCGAGCUUAAGCCCAUAUAAUCCCGGUAGUCCGUGAAAUCUCGAAGGAUUUCAAACCACACACAUACAUACAACUAGGAUCGUAAUAAGUUCAGCGGUCAGUAUUCACAAUUACAUCCAGUUUGUAGCAUUCAUCACAUUACAUCAGAGUUCAAUAUAGUUAUUACAAACCAAGUUCUCAAGUAGUGGAAGCUCAUAGUUUUGAAAUAACACACACACACACUUAGAUUGAUACAGUGCCAUUUUGGAUCAUUUCCACAAAAUCAAAAGAGGAGGUAGAGUGACCAUCGCCCUUGGUCUAGUCAUCACCCAUCGCUGGGUACAAGCAGUGAAUGCAAUAACCAUAGUACAUCUGCCCAUCUGCAAAACAACAUGGGAAUAGAACCCUGAGUACGAUAAUGUACUCUGCUAGACUUACCCGUCAUAAACCAAAGACUGUUCAAGGAUCAUGAGGGCUGUAUAGUGGGGUAGCUGAGUCCUUUUGCAAAAACGCACUACUCAACUAGAAGUACACACUAACAAUACCCCUUCUUCUUUUAAUUAGCUCAGGUUAAGUGUUAUUACAUAUCUUCUAGAUUUGCACAUGUACUAUUGCAAACAAGUGUUGCGAUAUGAUGGUACCUCAUCAUAGCAUUCAUAAAUCAUUACUCAUCAUAACCCAAGUGUUUCAUAGUCCUUAUUACGAGGAUGAAGCUCAUGUCAAGUUCUCACUAUCCAGGAGCGAUGGCAAUUCGAAUCGAUUUCUAACCAGGUGGCGAGUUAUUCCCCACACAAACCACACUCACUGAUCAGUGAGCUACAGAUCAACGUAUUACACUAUCUAGGACCAAAUCGCGGGUUCAGCAGGCACCCCCAGUACCAGAGGACCCUUCUUGCGACCGAGGUAUCCAUGGUACACCAAGGUUGCACGCCCUCGUCGUUCUCCUCAACCAUCACUAAUAUAGCGCAUGGCGGCUCGACUCCCAGCCUGGAUUGUGUUCAGGCUUCGCAGUCGGAACGACUUAUCCUUCCAGCUAAGUGUGGGGCAUGCGUUCAACAUGACAAGAGGGCCAUCAAUGAUCGGUCCUUAAUCGACACAGGUAGGGGCACUACAGUCAACUCCACCAUAAGACCCUGUCCGGUCUCAAGUUCAUUCCCACACUUGGUUACUUUUCCUCAUAGCAUUAACAGCUAAUUAAACAGGUGUCCACCUAUAUCUCGCAGGUGACCGAAAAUCAUCCAACUUCUACCGUGCUAAGCAAGCUAAGCAAAGACUCCGAGCCUAUCUACAUAGGACAAGGUCGAUAAAUAGGUGGUAAUAUCAAGGAGUAAGUAUGCAUCAACGGUAUCAAGCAAUUCCUAUCACAUAAAUGCAACAUAGUAGAACAAUCAUAAUAUAUCAAUUAAGUUAGCGAGAAUAGGGAGACUUAGAAUGCUCCGGGGCUUGCCUUUCUCGAACGUGCUAGGCUUCUGGUCCGGGCACUCCUACAGCUCUCCUUCCGGCUCGAGUCCUCUCGGAAGUUCCUGCUCCUGGGUCUCCUCUUGCUCCUUGGGUCCCACCUCGUUCUCCUGCGAGCCUGUAUGAUGCAUGUGUGCUCAUGAGCGGAGUGCGAGAUGCCCGAGGUGCAGUGCUUAUGCAAGUGGGUACCAGAUGCUCAUGACAUGGUGCAUAGUUGACAUAGGUGAUUAUUUCUACAAGGUAGUCAACAUCAUCCAAGAACAUGUACUCAAAUUAAGCAUCUAUUGCAUUCUCUUCUACAAGUUGUUUUCAUGGUUAACCAGCAAGCUAACAUGAUGCUUCAAAGAUACACCAAACACCCUUUAUUCCAUUUAACUUAUGCAUAACAAAUCAUACUUUAUUUGAGUUAUUAUUGGGCCUACAACAGUAGCAUGUACUUCUGCUUAUCAAUAAAUUCUACAAAAAUUACAGUGGAUUACUGGUCAAGCAUAAAGUCUACCACAAAUUUUUGAUAAUAUUUGGACACUCAGUUUGGCCUACAAAAAUUACAAGAUUACUCAAUAUAAUUCAGUAUAAAUACCCUACUGUUGACCAAGUGUCAAACAACAGAUUUCAUAUUUUUAUAAAUUACUUACUAGCAUAAGAAACACCCACAAAAAUUUCCAAAUUAAUUGCAUGAUCUAAUUAUUUAUUAAAAAUCAUCAACCACUGCCAUGCAAGCAAUUAAAUCAUCAUAAUUUAAUUUAUACAGCAAAUAUUGGGUGACAUAUUUUUCCCAGAAGCUAAACAUCCAUGCACAGCUAACAAAACAAGUUUCACAUUUUUCUGAGUCAUAUUCCAAUUAUUGUGCAUUUUCUAAAUAUCAGCAAAAACAUGGAUUAAAUACAUUUGUACAGAAAAGUUGUUCAACCAUGACAUGCAAUUACACCAAAAAGAUAGAUAUUGAAUUAUAGAACACACCAAAACUUAUUUCAUCGUUUUUAGAGCUAUGGAUCUCAAGAUAUAGAUUUAAUACCAUCUAAAUCAUUUUUUGGAAUAUCUUUUAAAACAAAAAUCGACUUAAAACGCUAAGUGCACCCGGAUUCAAACCCUUAGAGGCGCUGACAGGCGGGACCCAUGAGUCAGCUGACCCCACUUGUUAGCCACGCCGUGACUCCGCGGCCAAAGAUCGGCUAGAAUCUCACCGCCGGUGAGGUCUCCAGCGACUGCGGGAGCACCUACGGCUUCGCGAGAGCGAGACGAGCCUAGCCGUGCCCUUUUUGGCACGUGACGAGCACUGGAACUACCUCGCCGUCGAGAAUGGUGGACGCGGCGGUAGAGCGUGCGCUAGCGACGGGGAAAGAUGCGCAAUGCCAAGGCGAAGCUAACGGACCUACGAACGAAAGCAAUGGCGGAAAGGAGAGAGAGAAACGCGUGAGCCGAGAGGUCGUCGGAGCUCUGACUCACUCCGGUGAGCUCUACCGGACACGCGGGGCUUACCGAGCGCGGUUGAGCGCGAGCACGGGGUGCGGAAUGGCGAGACGGACUCGCUGGUGCUUCCGGAUGGGAGGGAGGAGGCCAGAGCUGGCAAGGAGAAAAGCUCCGAGCGUCGGCGACAAUGGCGCGCGGCGGUGCGGCUGCUACUACGCGCGAGCAGAGGGGCGUGUCUGGCAGCGGGGACGGAGGCGGACGCGGCCGGGCGCACCUGGUGGCCGACCAGGGCGCGUCCAAGCCGCCGCAUGCGCGCCACGCGGCGGCCGAGCUCUGUCGGCUCGCCACGGCGGCACGGCGCGGCCGUCCGCGCGCGUGGACACGGCGCUGGCGCGAGCGCGGGGAAGGGGGAAGCACGGGCGCGGGGAGGCCGGGCCGGCUUCGCUGGCUGGGCCGGUUGGUUGGCGCCGGCCCGCCAGUGAACAGCCCCCCUUGCCCUUUUUUUUAAUUUAUUUUUCCCAAAAAGCUUAAAUGAGAUUUUUUAAGCUUUUGCACACUUUUUCAGGGGUUGAAGUAAAUAGAAGCAUUGUUCCUCACAAAAUCCUCUACAACUUUGCUUUAAGAUGCAAAUCCAAAUUCCAAACAAAAUUUGAAUCACAAAGCAAAACUAGUUCUAGGUUUUCAAAUAAAUUCAUUUUAGGGAUUUUUGUAUAAUAUCCAUUUCUCAAUUUCUAUAGCUCCAAAAAUUUCACAAAAUUACUCUUAAUUCUUCUAAAAUAUAUUUCAACCUAUUUUGGGCAUCACAAGGAUUUUUGGAAUAAGCAUACUAUUUUUAUCAUAUUUAAUUCACAUAAAUUAAGCACAUAAAAUCAUACUUGAAUUAAUGCCAUGCUCAUGUGAUGCUAUGCUUAAUGAGAAUGCUUAGGAAAGGGUUUAUGAGACUAAGUGCAUGCUUAACACCUAGGGUAUUACACUGGGCGCCCGCCCUCAUCAUCAGGGCGCCGCCCUGUGCGUGGCCCCGUUGUGGGCCCGCUUCCUUGAGCAUGCUUCUAGAUGCAAACUUUAUUUGAAAAAAUAUAUAUGUGGUCCUAAAACGUCAGAUUAAAAAGAUCAGGCUCUAAUUCUCCAUGGGAAGGUAAAAAUGGAUCACGUCUAUCUCUUCUAAUUCUUUAUUAGGCUCAAAAAAUAAUUUAAGACAUUGACCAUUUACCUUGAAUAAUGUACCUUCGUCAUUUUGAAGUGUGAUAGCUCCGUGGGAUGAUGAAUUGAUUACCUUGAAUGGUCCUUCCCAUUUACUCUAGAGUUUUCCAUGCCCGAAAAGCUUCACCCUAGAAUUAAAAAGUAAUACCUUAUCUCCUGGUGCGAACUCCUUCGUCUUGAUCCUCUUGUCAUGCCACCUUUUGACUCUUUCUUUGUAGAUCUUCGAGUUGUGAUAUGCUUUCUCUCGCCAUUCUUCCAAUUCUGAUAGUUGCAUUCUUCUAUGAUCUCCAGCAACAUCUAGGUCCAUAUUCCAUCUCCUUAUGGCCUAGUGUGCUUAGAAUUCUUGUUCAACAGGUAGGUGGCAAGUUUUCCCGUACACCAAUUGGUAUGGGGACAUUCCAAUUGGGGUCUUGUAUGCUGUCCGGUAUGCCCAGAGUGCAUAAGGUAACUUGUCCUUCCAUGCCGUUCCCAUCUCAUUGACUGUUUUCUGAAGAAUAUUCUUGAUUUGCUUGUUGGAAGUCUCUGCUUGGCCACUUGUCUAAGGAUGGUAGGGAGUAGCGACGUUGUGACGGAUUCCAUGUUUUGAUAGAUAGUGCUUGAAGCAUUUGUCGAUGAAGUGUGCUCCUCCAUCACUUAUCACUACUUUGGGAACUCCAAAUCUUGGAAAUAUGACUUCUUCAAACGUCCUCUUUGAACUGAUGUUGUCGGCGUGUUUGCAAGGUAGUGCCUCUACCCACUUGGAGACGUAGUCAACUGCCACCAAGAUGAACUCACACUUCUUUGAUGGGGGAAAUGGACCCAUGUAAUCUAUUCCCCAGACAUCAAAGAGCUCAAUCUGAAGGUUGUUGGUGAGUGGCAUGGCAUCCCUUGUGUUUAUGUUUCUGUGCCUUUGACAUGGCCCACAUCUUCUGAUAUAUUGCUUCGUGUCCUCAUACAUUGUAGGCUAGUAGAAUCCACACUGCCAGAUCUUUGAAUGUGUACGGAAUGCUCCAUAAUGACCUCCAUAUGAUGAUGAAUGACAUCUAUCAAUGAUCUUCCAUCCUUCCUCGGUGGUCACACAUCUCCUGAGUAAGCCAUCAGAGCAUACUCGGAACAUGUAUGGCUCAUCCCAUAUAUGUGAACGACUUUCUUGAAUAAGCUUCUUCUUGUUCGCUCCUGGUGGUACAUACCCUGAAACCAUAAAAUUAACAAUAUCUGCAUACCAGGGGUCAGACCUGUUAAUCCCGUAGAGCAUGUCGUCCCGGAGUGAAUCAUUGAUGGGGGUGUCCUGUGGAUUCUUAAAAUACAUUAUAGACAAGUGAUCAGCAACAGAAUUUUCUACUCCCUUUUUAUCUUUUAUUUCCAUGUCAAAUUCUUGAAGUAAUAAGAUCCAUCUAAUCAGGUGUGGUUUAGCAUCUUUUUUAGUGAGCAGAUAUUUUAGUGUAGCAUGAUCAGUGUAAACAAUUAUUUUAGCUCCAACUAAAUAAGAUCUAAAUUUAUCAAUGGCAAAGACAAUGGCCAGAAGCUCUUUUUUAGUGGUUGCAUAAUUAAGUUGAGCUCCUGUCGAAGUUUUACUGGCAUAAGCAAUUGCAUGAUGCUUCUUAUUUUUAGUUUGUCCCAAAACUACCCCCACAGCAUUGUCACUAGCAUCACACAUAAUUUCAAAAGGCAACGACCAGUCAGGGGGUUGAAUGAUUGGUGCAGAGAUGAGUGCAUUCUUUAAUAAAUUAAAAGAUGUUAGGCAUGCAUCAUCAAAUUCGAAAGGAGCAUCCUUGGUUAGCAAAAGAGUAAGUGGUCUAGCAAUGAAUGAAAAAUCUUUUAUGAAUCCACGAUAAAAACCAGCAUGGCCAAGGAAGCUUCGAAUUCUUUUUAUAUUCACGGGUGGAGGUAGUUGUUCAAUUACUUCAAUUUUAGCUUUGUCUACCUCAAUACCUCUUUCAGACACUAGGUGUCCAAGCACUAUUCCUUCCCUAACCAUAAAAUGACAUUUUUCCCAAUUGAGGACUAAGUGCUUUUCUUCCCACCUUUGCAAAACCUUGUCUAAGUUUUCAAGACAACUAUCAAAAGUUUUUCCAUAUACAGAGAAAUCAUCCAUGAAAACUUCCAUAAUCUCUUCAAUCAUAUCAGAAAAUAUAGACAUCAUGCAUCUUUGAAAAGAAGCUGGUGCAUUACAUAACCCAAAAGACAUUCUACGGUAAGCAUAAGUUCCAUAUGGGCAUGUAAAAGUGGUUUUGCUUUGAUCAUCGGGAUGGAUCGGGAUUUGGUGAUACCCUAAAUAUCCAUCUAAGAAAUAGAAGAACGAAUGGUUCACUAAUCGCUCUAGCAUCUCAUCUAUGAAAGGAAAAUCAUCAUUUUUCAUGACUUUGUUCAGUUUUGUAUAGUCUAUGCACAUCCGGCACCCUGUGACGGUGCGUUGCGGAUGUUGACACUUGCUAACACCACUUGAAUACUAGGUUGUCAUCCCCAGCAUGACACUAGAGUGUACUAUGGUAUUUAUACGCGCACAGAUAAUCCACAAGCGCACGGAUACCGUUAUAGCUUUUACCCGGUUAAAGGUUUUAUCGUAUCCACAAGGAAACGGGAGAACCAACUACGCUCUAACUUAACCAAGAUAGAUAGAUAGGUGUGAAUAGGAAAGAUGGUAGAAUUGAAUAAGAACAAUAUUAAAGGUAAGAUAACAAUGGGUGAUAAUAUGGGAAUAGAGUAGAGCAAUUCUAGUAUAUGGGCGAUGGUAGCAGAAUAGAGAGAAUAACUAUGGUUUCUCUCUUUUAAAGGGGUAUGUCUAUGUCUGGGACGAACCACGUGAUAAGAAUACACCACAAAGGAUGCUUAUCCAUAGGCCGAUAAACCCUACCCGUCCUGCUAACAAGAGGUGGACUACAGGGGACCAACGUAACUGUCACCUACGCGGCCUACCACACGAUCCAGCUAGACAGGGGAUAUCCACAAGUAAUCUAGGUCGAAGCACCACGCUUACACCUAUACUACAACUCUCACCUAUAGCAUCCUAUAGAUUAGAAGUACUCAAAAGAGUUGUGAACCAGAACAUACAUGAUUAGUAAUUGCAUAAUGAAUUAGAAGUAGAUUACCAGAGUCAUCCCAUGAGCAAGCUUGAUUAGAGCUUGAUCAUGGCGAAGUACAACCAGAGGAAGAACCGACAGGCCGGCCUCUCCUCCAAUCCUCCCUCGCUCUCCAUCUUGCUACUAUCUAGAUCUACUCUAGUUUAGAGAAGAGAGGAGAGCUCUCAUCUCCAAACCCUAGCUUUUGCUCUGUCUAUGAAUAAUGAAUAAUGAUCAAGGGGGUGCCUCCUCCAAGGGCAAGGGGGUCUGGUUAUAUAGUCCCCUCAACUGAAUCUGGGCCGUCGGAUCAAACCGACAUUGAUUGAAUGGUUAUCCUUGAUCCUUUAGGUCGGUGGAGCAUAAUCCGCGAGAUUGAGCGUGAUUGGUUGAAACUCCAGGGUGGGCGCCCAAGGGGGGAGGGCGGGCGCCCUGCCCCCGAGCCCGCUCGGCCUCCCGUUUGUUCCCGUGGCUUCUGGAGUCUUCUAGAUGAUAGAAAAUUACGCGGCACGUUAAUAUCUCUAUGUAAACCCGACGUGUGGGCCUUUCCUCCAUAUUUCCUGAUAACCCCCUGCAGAAAUAGACAAACACCAAAACUUAUGGAAUUCUGUCAGAUGAAACCCUAAGUCUAGGUGUUGGUUGCAUUUGGAUCCUUUUUAUUUAUUUGAUGAUUAAAUUUGAUACUUAAGGACCGUCAACAAACUCCCCCAAGCUUACCUCUUGCUCGUACCGGAGCAAGGAUGGACUCAAGAGUUUUUACAGUGGUUUUAUGCCUUAAAGGUACUCAUGCGUUCAAACAAGAUCUCAUCUCUAGGUUAAGGUCAAUUGUUAAGAUUUAAACUUACUCAUAUUACCUUCCACCAUGGGCCUUGCAACCGUCACUUGUGUCUUGAGCGGUUAAAAGAUAGAACGGUCAAGUCAAGCACCAUGUCUCUUGUUCUUUGAUCAACUAUAGCUCUAGAGUUUUUGAAGAUUUUCAAAUAAAACUCAGAGAUUCCUUGUAUGACUCUCUCUAGUCUCUCUUUUUUGGUAUUUCUGGAUCCUUAUCAAGGCAGUAAUGAUAUAUGCCUUCUCUCAAAGUAUGUGGUAUUUGUGGUAUGAGGCAUAGUGAUAUUGCCUUCUCUCUCAUCCUACUCUAAUAAGGUUUGAUAUCUGGAGUUCAUAGGUGGGAGACAGCUAAUACAUACUUACAAGACAUUUAUUGCAUAGUCAAACCAUGGAUCUAGAGAAACAAGUCAAUAGGUCAAAUCAUGAUGUGCAUGUGUGGCAAAUGAAUGGUGUAUGGUGAUAAUGGUGAAAGCAAUGGUGAAAGUCUAAUUCUACGUUUGCUCUUUUGAGAGGAUACAUACCUUUCUUGCAUUUUGAAGAUUUUUGAGGGGAAUGAGAUGCUCUAUAUUUUCUUUUUCUUUUCUCUCAGGUGGGUAUCGUGUACCCCUAAUUCUACUGUAGGACACUUGUCCAUUUUUACCUCUCGUCUCACUUUUUCUCUUCUUCGAGGUUCCGAGCACUUGCCCCUUUUUAUUUCCUCGUAUUUUUAUUUUUUUCAGAGCACUCACCCUCCUGGAAUAAUGUAGCAAGUGGUAGUAACCAAAAUAUCUUGAGCAUUUAUUUCAUAGGGAAAAACUGGAAUGGGAUAAUGUUUUUGGCUAUUCUCUCCCGGAUAGGAGAAGAAUAAUUUUGGGUGAAUCUGGAGAUGGAAAUGAGUGGAUGUAUGUGGAUGCGUACUUCCGGAGUAGAAGCAACAUGUAUGAGUGAACGUGCAAGUGAAUCUUGAUUUUAACCGCAUGACAAGCUCCUAAGGGUCUACACAGCUUAACCACACUCAAUGCUCAUAAGUAGUAAAAAGUAAAUGUAUGGUUCAUAGUCUAAUAAGCAUGUAUAUGUGGCUGUGGUAGGAUUUUAAACUCUCAUCAUACAGGAACUCAUCAUGCAACAUUUUAAAGAUUUUCAAAGAUAAAAUUCUCCAGAAUUCUAGCAUCUCUAGGAACAGAUAAAUAGCAUCUCAACCUUCCCAUAUCAUAUCUGUUAACGACUUAGACUUUAGAUCAAGUACUCUUCCCACAAGUUCAGGUUUAGAGCAAAUCUUAAUUCAUAACAGUCAUGCCUAAACUUGAGAGAGAAAUCAAUUUUUGAGAACUAGUCAUGGGAGAGCAACUAUUCAUCAUUUCCAUGUGAGAGCUUAUCAUGAGGGUUCAUAGCAAACUUUAUUUAUUUAUUUAUUUAGCAAACUAAGUAAAGAUAUAUAUAUAUAUAUAUAUAUAUAUAUAAGCAUAAAAUCUUUAUUUGGGUUUUUUAUGAUUAUGCAUCUUUUAUUUGAGUAAAGUAUAAACGCGAGUAGAAACACUUAGCUGGAUAAAUGGGGGUGCUCUCCCCCAAGCUGGAUUUUGACGUAAUUUCUUCUGAUGUAGCUAGCAGGUGGUGGAGGUGUAUUUGAAUGUCAGUAGUACCCUGACAGCGAUUAGGAUGUCCUCCGUCUGCUAGUCUUCUUUGAUCCUUGAAUUUUGUGGAGCUCAAAUAGACAACAAAGAUUUGUAGAACUAGUUAAGUGUUAGCAUAAAUAUCUAGCCUUUAUCAUGUUGAGCCUCCUUAAUCAAUGUUACUCUCUUCUUGCUCCAAUCUUGGAAAGGUUAGUGACAAGAAUACCCGAAGGAAUAUUUUUAUAAUUAUCCUUAUAUGCUCAAUACACAAGGUAAUGUUGUAAAUAAUUAAAAGCUCAUGUUGCGAUCUGAUCAGUGCUUAUUUUAGGACACUAAGCUUGUCCUUGGGAAACAAUCAAUUUAUGUCGGUGAAGUGGUUUCCCUUCCAACACUGACCUAUAUCAAGAUCAACUCAACGAGAUCUGCAAUAUUUAUUAUAGACAUAUGCAUCGACAACCGCCCUUUUAAACUUUUUUUAAAUAGAAAGGAAGAGGGGGUUGGAGAUCUCAAAUGUGGUGAUGUUGGAGAGACCAAUAGAUUGGGAAGAUGUUGCAUAUGAUCAUGGAGUAAACAAAGUGGCUAUGAAAUAAAUUCCAUGCUCAUUAAUGUUAUCUUCGUCUCCAAUCUGAAUGUUCGGAGUUUCUCCUAGAUUGGUCUCACCUAUGUCCUCUUCUAUAGUUGGAUGAAUCCCAUCUUCAAAGGGAGUCAAGAACUCACCAUUUGAAAUUGAUCCAAAGUUAGAAUCCAUUAAGGCUUCUUCCUUGUCCAUCCAUUCUACACAUUCUAGCCAUUUAGAACUUGUGAUCAAGAUAGGGGAGCUGUUAGAAUUUUCUAUAUGGCUUAGCUCUCCUAUGACAUUACUUGACAUGUCAUCCUCAUAGUCUUUAUGAAUCCUAUGGUUUGAUUGUCUUGAUGGAUUGCUAGGAUCAUCAUGAGACUGGAAAGGAGAGGGAUAAGAGGGGCCUCUAAGGUCAAGGAUGGAUUUAGAAUUUGUGAACAUUGAAGGGGAGCAGAUAGAGACUUCUAUAUGGUUUAGCUCUCCUUCACUUGAUAUGUCAUCCUCGACUUCUUCAUAAUAGGAACCAGGACAUUCUCUAAGAGAACCAUUAUUGCAAGGAUUUGAAUUAUCCCUGCUUGAAGGUCUCUUAUGGAACCAGAAGUCUAAACCAUUAGUAUCUGAAAGAUUUAAGGUCGGAAUUCCUUCCUCCCUUGGAGAAUUUUGGGGUAUUGAUGGUUUAGGAUCGAUAGCUAAAGUUUGGAAUUUAAGUGGUUGUGAUCUGGCUAUCGAAACUUCUUCUUCUUGUCUAGGAACUGGUUCUUUCUCUUUCUCAGGGAUAUAAAAGCUAGGAGACUUUCCGCUCAUUAAAUCAAUCAAAUUCCAAGCUUCACUAGCAGGUAGGUGAUAGAAAGAUCCUCCGGAGGCUGUAUUCAAUGUUUGCUUAUUUUCCAUACUAAGGCCCUCAAAAAAGUGAAUUCGAAGAACUUCUUGUGGAAUAGAAAGCUUUGGGCCAGUGAGAGUAAGGUUAAUAAAGCGGUCCCAUGAUUUUCCAAGAGAUUCUUCUUCCAGUUUUCUAAAAGAAAUAAUCUCACGCCAAAGUUCCGCCACUUUAGAGAUUGGAAAAUAUUUUAAAAGAAAACUAUUAUGUAACUCCUUCCAAUCUCUAUGAACACUCCAUACUUUGAGUUUAUACCAAUAUCUAGUUGUUCCUAUUAAAGAGAACGGAAAGAGCUUCCAUUUAAGGGUCUCAUUGGACAUGCCUUCUAUGCGAAGGAGGUCACAGACUCGAUAAAACUCUCUUAGGUGUGUGUAUGGGUUUUCCUCACCUUCUCCUGAGAAAGGUUGUUUUUGAACAAAUUCUAUGUAUUCGGGGUCUAUCUCAAAACUAGAUGCUAUGAUAGGCUUUGAAUAUUUUGGUGGUUCGAGAUGUGUGCCCGUAGGUCUAUGAAAUUCAUAGAUAGACAUGUUUGAAUUCAUGAUAGACCAGAGAUCAAGGAUUAGAUAAGAAGAAAGAAUAGCAGAGAUAAGGCACAGGAUAAAAGGAAAAAUAUUUUUUUAUUUUUUUUAGAAAAUGAUUAAGCUAGUUCGUAGUCAACUCAGCAACCGUCUCCCCGGCAACGGCGCCAAAAAUGCUUGUUGACACUUGCUAACACCACUUGAAUACUAGGUUGUCAUCCCCAGCAUGGCACUAGAGUGUACUAUGGUAUUUAUACGCACACAGAUAAUCUGCAAGCGCACGGAUACCGUUAUAGCUUUUACCCGGUUAAAGGAUUUAUCGUAUCCAUAGGGAAACGGGAGAACCAACUAUGCUCUAACUUAACCAAGAUAGAUAGAUAGGUGUGAAUAGAAAAGAUGGUAGAAUUGAAUAAGAACAAUAUUAAAGGUAAGAUAACAAUGGGUGAUAAUAUGGGAAUAGAGAGUAGAGCAAUUCUAGUAUAUGGGCGAUGGUAGCAGAAUAGAGAGAAUAACUAUGGUUUCUCUACUUCAAAGGGGUAUGUGUAUGUCUGGGACGAACCAUGUGAUAAGAAUACACCACAAAGGAUGCUUAUCCAUAGGCCGAUAAACCCUACCCGUCCUACUAACAAGAGGUGGACUACAAGGGACCAACGUAACUGUCACCUACGUGGCCUACCACACGAUCCAGCUAGACAGGGGAUAUCCACAAGUAAUCUAGGUCUAAGCACCACGCUUACACCUAUACUACAACUCUCACCUAUAGCGUCCUAUAGAUUAGAAGUACUCAAAAGAGUUGUGAACUAGAACAUACAUGAUUAGUAAUUGCAUAAUGAAUUAGAAGUAGAUUACCAGAGUCAUCCCAUGAGCAAGCUUGAUUAGAGCUUGAUCAUGGCGAAGUACAAUCGGAGGAAGAACCGACAGGUCGGCCUCUCCUCCAAUCCUCCCUCGCUCUCCAUCUCGCUACUAACUAGAUCUACUCUAGUUUAGAGAAGAGAGGAGAGCUCUCAUCUCCAAACCCUAGCUUUUGCUCUGUCUAUGAAUAAUGAAUAAUGAUCAAGGGGGUGCCUCCUCCAGGGGCUAGAGGGUCUGGUUAUAUAGUCCCCUCAAGUGAAUCUGGGCCGUCGGAUCAAACCGACAUUGAUUGAACGGUUAUACUUGAUCCUUUAGGUCAGUGGAGCAUAAUCCGCGAGAUUGAGCGUGAUUGGUUGAAACUCCAGGGCGGGCGCCCAAGGGGGGAGGGCGGGCGCCCUGCCCCCGAGCCCGCUCGGCCUCCCGUUUGUUCGCGUGGCUUCUCGAGUCUUCUAGAUGAUAGAAAAUUGCGCGGCACAUUAAUAUCUCUAUGUAAACCCGAUGUGUGGGCUUUCCUCCAUAUUUCCUGAUAACCCCCUGCAGAAAUAGACAAAUACCAAAACUUGUGGAAUUCUGUCAGAUGAAACCCUAAGUCUAGGUGUUGGUUGCAUUUGGAUCCUUUUCUUUAUUUAUUUGAUGAUUAAAUUUGAUACUUAAGGACUAUUGUUGGGUAUUCUUAACAUCAUUACCAAAAGUAGACAAUUUUCUAAUUCUAGUAACGGUGCCAAAAAUGCCAAACCUAUCCCUCAUACCACUUAAGCCAAGUUGUCAUCCCCAGCAUGACAUGAGAGACGCGGUAUUGAAAUAUGCAAUUGCUCUUCUAAAUAAAUAAUGAAUGGGAUCUGCAAGCGCACAGAUUAAUACCGAUGUAGCAUUUUAACCGGGAAGUAUUCCAGGUAUCGUUAUUUAUAUUUUUACCACUGGGAAGGGAUUAACAAUCAUCAAUAUUGAUUACAGAAUAGAAUAUGAGAUUGAGUAUCUAUCAUUGCAUGUAUAAUUGAGAACAUUUAUAUAAUUCUUUCAUAUAGGGGUAAGUGUCACAUAAAAGAUAUAUGAAGUAAUGAAUAGUGACAAAGAUAAUUAAUCUGAUCAUACUUAGCCACAUAAUAAAUAUGAUAAGCACCUCAAUUAGAUACUCUAGAAAGUCAUUUGCAUGGUAUUAGAACGAACUACAAGAAUAUUCCCUAAGUUAUUCUCAACUAUGUAGUCUAGCAUUAUCAUAGUUAGUGCAAGCAUACUUAGCAAUCAUUGCGAGACAAGACUACGCCCAUGCAUAGUGAUAUUAGCAAGGUAAAUGAGAAACAUAGCAAUCGCUCCCCUGUAAUAAUGUUGCUCUGCCAGCCCAAUACACGAGAGGGGGACUAUAUAAAAAUCAAUGAAGUUGUCACUAUCACGAACUACCCCACGAUCUGGCAUAUUGGGUACAAUCGCAGAUAAAUACGGUAUAAGCACCACGCCUACACAAUAUCUAUCAUUUACCCAUGGAUCCGAUGGAUAAACGCUAUACGAUCCUAAGCCUGUAUAUAGAUCCAAUCUAACUAAGCCAAGUACAUAACUAUGAUAAACUAAGAACAAUAUAAUCUUGAAUAUAAGCAAGUAGAGCAAAGUCAUAAGCAAUAUAUUGAAGUAGAACAAAGUCAUAUUCAUAAUAUUGAAGAACAAAGAUAAUUAUAAAGCAAUUAGAAGCACAAUUAGAGAAUUACCAAGAAUCCUCUUAACAGAUCCGGAAACCAAUCGAAGAUUGACUCCUUCUAGUUCUAAGCUAUGCUAAUCUAGAUGUCUAAUUGAUGUGGUGGCUCUAAUCUUGAUCAGAGGCUUCUUCUCCCUUGAGGAAUAAUGAAUUAGGGUUAAGAGGCUCUCUCCUCCAGGGGCCAGGGGGUCUGGUUUUAUAGUCCCUUCAAGUGAAUAUGGGCCGGUGCAUCAAACCAACAUUGAUUGAACGGUUAUCCUUGAUCCUUUAGGUCGGUGGAGAUCUUCCCCGAAACAGAGUCCUGAUUGGACUCAGCAGGAGGGCGGGCGCCCAGGUCCUGGCCCCGUUCGGCCUCCGCUUCCUUCCCGUGGCUUCUGGAGUCUUCUAGAUGUAAGAUAAUUGCGUGGCACAUUAAUAUCUCUAUGUAAUCCCGACGUGUGGGCCUUUCUUCCGUAUUUCCUGAUAACCCCCUGUAGAAAUAGACAAACACCGAAACUCAUGGAAUUCUGUCAGAUAAAACCCUAAGUCUAGAUGCUGAUUUCAUUUGGAUCAUUUUCUUUGUUUAUUUGAUAAUUAAAUUUGACACUUAAGGACCGUCAACAGCCGUCAACAGCGGAAUUAGCUCGUUCUUUUCAUUCGUAACGACAGUCAUGCCUCCCUUUUUAGGCACAACUUGAACUGGGCUCACCCACUCACUGUGCAGCACAGGAUAUGUAAUCCCUGCAUGUAGCAACUUUAUAACUUCCUUUUUAACUACCUCUCUCAUCGUGUUGUCAAGUCUAUGUUGGGGCUCCCGAGAAGGUGAAAUAGAAGGAUCUGUCAGAAUAGGAUGGGUACAAAUCAUAGGACUGAUUCCUGUAAGACCUUGGAGUGAGUAGCCAAAAACUGAGUGAUGUUUCUCAAGAAUGGUCAUCAAACACAGAGUUUGCUCCUGAGUGAGUUUAUUACUAAUGAUCACAGAAAACUCUAGAUUAUUGUUUUGGAAAGCAUAGAUAAGACCGGAUGGUAAAGUUUUAAGCUCUAUGGGAGGUCUAGGUGUUUUUGCAAACUCAUCUAAGGGUUUAGGUUCAGAAGGUUCGGCCUCUUCUUCUGUGAUGAAAGGAGCUUCUUCUUCUAAGUCUGGUUCUUCUAAAAGCUGUAAAGAUGCAAGCUUUACCUCCUCCAUAGGAUCGGGCAAAAGGUAUGACUCAGUCUUAUUAUUUAGGGAGUGUGAAAUCGUUAUUGGAAAUUUAAAAGUUUUUCCAAAAGAAAUGUGUAGCUUUCCAGUAUGACCUUCAUAAAGGAGUCUUCUAAAAGGUUGUCCUAUCAACAGGUCGAAGUCUCAUGUAUCAAAGAUAUAAAAGUUCAAAUGAACCAUGGAGACUUCUACCAAUAAGGGUAGGACAUUAAUAAUUCCAAGACUGGGGACUAAUCGUUUCGAAGAUUCCUUUAUGACCUUUGUUGUGGGGGUUAAGACCAAAUUUUUAAAUAAUUUAAGUGCAAAAGAUUUAGACAUGAUGUUGGUCCCCACGACAGGAUUAUAGAGAGCAUCAAAGUGAUUAGAAUCAUAAGCACAACAUAUAGUUAUAGGAGGUGUGUCCAAACGGAUCACAUCAGAGGAAAGCUCUGACUCCUCCAACCAUUCGCUACUCAUGACUGAGAUAAGCUCUCUCAAUUCAUGUUCACUUGGCAAACAAAUGCUAAAAUGGCCAUUUUGGGGUCUGUCUAUAGAAUGGUAGUUUGAAAUGUUUCCAAAAUCGGCAUAACGGUCAGAUUUUAUAUCCAGCAUGAAAUCAGGUGGUGGAAUUUUUCCUUUUGUGGCUCAAAACUUGGGAUAACUAAAGUAGAUGGAGAAUUUGGCAGAGUGUCUACUUCGGCUUUGUGGGUUCCACAAUGAAUGGUAUUAUCCAUCUCAGCUUCUAGGAAUCUAUCUAGGAUCACUCUAGCGUCAUAAGUAGGGAUGCGAAAGAAAGAACCACUAGACAUUGUAUGUAGCAUUUGUUUAUGAUCUUUCUGAAGACCUCAAAAAAAGUGAAAUAAAAGAACAGGGUCUUCAAGAUUAAGGUUUGGACCAGAUUCUAAAAGAUCAGAAAAACGUUUCUAGGAUUUUCCCAAAGUUUCAUUAUCUUUUUGUUUAAAAGAUAGGACUUUGAGUCUAAGGUCGCCGAUACGGUCGAGGGAACAAAAAUCUAGACAAAAGUUGGCUAGACAUUGUAUGUAGCAUUUGUUUAUGAUCUUUCUGAAGACCUCGAAAAAAGUGAAAUAAUAGAACAGGGUCUUCAAAUUUAAGGUUUGGACGAGAUUCUAAAAGAUCAGAAAAACGUUUCCAGGAUUUUCCCAAAGUUUCAUUAUCUUUUUGUUUAAAAGAUAGGACUUCGAGUCUAAGGUCGCCGAUACGGUCGAGGGAAUAAAAAUCUAGACAAAAGUUGGCUCGUAAGACUCCCCAUUCACCUUGUUGUUGACUUACCUUUUGACUAUACCAUUGUCUAGCUUCUCCCCUUAAAAAAAGGAAAAAGCUUCCAAUGUAAAGUCUUAUCAGAAAUGCCUUCAAUGCAAAGACAAUCACAUGUUUGCUCAAAAUCUCUAAUAUGAAGGUAAGGGUUUUCAUCUUCCUUUCCUGAAAAAGAUAUGUUUUGAAUCAUGGCAAUCAACCUGGAACUUAACCUAUACUGGGAUGUUUGGAUAGGCUGUGAUGACUCCCAUGGUAAAAGGUCAUUUUCCGAAGUUGUUGCAAAUUGAUAGAUCGAUCUAGAAUCUUGGUUUUCCAUAAGGUAAGAGUAAAGAAUAAAGAAUAUAAAAAGAUAAGAAAAGAUAAAAGUAUGAAUACAAGCUAGUAGUAAGACUCAUGGUUAUCUCAGCAAACAGUCUUUCUCCCCGACAACGGCGCUAGAAAUGCUUAUUGAUAUUUGGUAACGCAAUCGGGAAUUAAUCCGCAAGCGCACGGAUAUCGGUGAGCACUUCACCCGGGAUGUUAUCCAGAGUAUCGUAUUUAUAUUUUUACCACUAGGAGAAAGCGUGCAUCUGACUAACCCGGUCUAUUACUACUAACCUUUAGGCUACAAACUAUGUGAUUCGAUGUGAGUGAUGUAUAGAGAAGACUACAACCGCACUCUCGUUCUAACCUUGGUAAGGAUGAUCUACUGUUGUGUUGGGGAGGCUCACGGAAUCUAGACACCACAGAGGAUGUUCGACCCGCACCUAUAAACCCUAUUGAUCCUGCUAAUGGGAUAUGGGCUACAAAGGUAACUCGGAAAUGUCACGUUCCUUGCUACUACCAUGGUCCAGCUAGUCAGGGGAUAUCUAUGAGUAUCCUAGCUCAAACACCACAUUUACGCUAGAGAUGAUUACUCUAAACUCUACGCGAAGAGAUCAAAGUAAACUCAUAAACCAAAUAACAAUAAAACAAAGAACUUACUAGAAUUUAGAAGUCAAAAUACUGAAGAAUCCUAGGAGCAAGCCUUGGGUUAGGAGACUUGAUCCCGUAGGUACAACCUCGGAGUAGACACCGACAGGCCGGGCUUCCUCCGAUCUACACCUCCACUCUAUCUCUCUCAAUCUAGUAGAACUAGUCUACUCUCACAUUGGAUGCUAUGCCUUAUGAGGUGGGAACCCUAAGGAACCUCUCUCUCUGAAUCCUCUCUGGAAAAUAUGCUAAUGAAUAAUGGGGAUUCUAUCUCUCUAGGGGCCAGGGGCCUUGCUUAUAUAGCCUUUUCAAAUGAAUCUGAGCCAUCGGAUCAAAUCGACAUUGAUUGAACGGUUCUCCUUGAUCCUCAAAGGCGGUGGAGCAUAAUCCACGUGAUUCACCUUGAUUGGCCACCAGAGGUGGGCGGGCGCCCAAGGGGGGAGGGCGGGUGCCCUGCCCCCGGGCCCAACCGGCCUCCCGUUCGUUCCCAUGGCUUCUGGACUCUUCUAGAUGUUGAAUAAUCGUGGUGCACGUUAAUAUCUCUAUCUAAACCCGACGUGUGGGCCUUUCUUCCAUAUUUCCUGAUAACCCCCUGCAGAAAUAGAUAAACAGCAAAACUCGUGGAAUUCUGUCAGAUCAAACCCUAAUUCUAGGUGUUGCUUGUAUAUUGGUCCUUUUCCUUGUUUAUUUCAUGAUUAAAAUUGAUACUUAAGAACCAUCAACAGUUGACUUCAUGUUUUCUCAACUGUCGUGAAGCAUAAGCUAUAACUCUACCUUCUUGCAUCAGCACACAUCCCAAACCACUUUUCGAUCCGUAACAAAACACAUCAAAAGGCUUCUCGAUAUUCAGUUGUGCUAGAACAGGAGCAGUGGUUAGUAGCUUUCGCAAGGUGCGGAAGGCUACUUCACACCCCUCUGUCCAGGCGAACUUAUGAUCCUUUUGUAGCAAACUGGACAUUGGCCUAGCUAUCUUGGAGAAGUCGGGGAUGAAACGACGAUAAUAUCCGGCUAAACCAAGAAAGCUUCGAACUUCCGAGACAGAAGUUGGUGCCUUCCAGUCCAGAACUUCCUGUAUCUUUGAUGGAUCCAUAGUGAUCCCUUCUUCUGACAGAAUGUGUCCUAGGAAUGGGACUUUCUUUAGCCAGAACUCACACUUGCUGAAUUUCGCAUAUAACUGAUGUUCUCGCAGUUGUGAUAGCACGACCCUCAAAUGCUCAGCAUGAUCUUGCUCAUUUUCUGAAUAGACUAGAAUCUCAUCGAUGAACACUACCACAAACUUGUCUAACUCUGGCAUAAAGACUGAGUUCAUUAGAUACAUAAAGUAUACAUGAGCAUUUGUCAAUCCAAAGGACAUGACAAGAUACUAAUACAACACAUAUCUGUUAGAAAAAACUAGUCUUUGGUAUAUCUUGCGGGCAGAUCUUGAUUUGGUGAUACCCAGACCUCAAAUUUAUCUUGGAGAACACUUUUGCUUUUGACAACUGAUCGAACAGGAUACCAAUCGACGGCAAGGGAUACUUAUUCUUGAUCGUCACUGCAUUGAGUGGGAGAUAGUCCACGCACAUGCGUAGGGAUUGAUCCUUCUUUAUCACAAACAACACCGGACAAACCCAUUCCAAUGAACUUGGCCGGAUGAAACCUUUGUCCAGCAACUCUUUCAAUUGGGUUUUCAGUUCAGCGAGCUCAUUUGGUGGCAUUCGGUACGGCCUUCUAGAGAUUGGUGUUGUACCCGGUAUCAACUCUAUAGCAAACUCUACUUCCUUAUCCGGGGGAUGUCCUGGCAACUCUUCUAGAAAACAUCAGGAAACUCGCAAACCACGAGGAUUUGGGGCAAAGGAACCACUUGUGUAGCACAAGAGAUGCUAGCAAAGUCAAACCAACGAGACAGGGGUACUUGAAAAGAACCACUGCCCUAAGGCUCCCUGAGAGAUAACACCCUUUUCCCGACAUCUAUAACAACAUCCCACUCUUUCAUCCAGUUCAUGCCAAUGAUAACAUCCAAGGCUAACCCAAGCAUGACCACCAGGUUCACUCGAAACACGAGAUUACUUAUAUCCAGGGUUGCCCCUCGGACCACUCUAUUGGUUAGCACAUCUGCCCCUACUGAGCUGAUGCGAUAGCCAUAACCCAGACCUGUAACUGCUUGGUCAUGCUUUUGUGUGAAUGCUUGGCUCAUGAAUGAAUGCGAUGAUCCAGAAUCAAACAAAACAACUGCAAGAUGUUGGUUGACAGGGAACAUACCAGCUGUUACUGGUUCUCCUUCCGGGAUCUCCUCUAUCGAGGUGUGGUGCACACGGGCUGGGUAGGUCGUCUGCUGUUUUUGGGGUAGGGACAUUCUUUAGCAAAGUGUCCCAUUGUGGCAGUUGUAGCAUGGCCCCUUGGUCAUGGUGUUGGCAGCAGGUGCUGCAACUUGAUUCGCCCUUUGGCCUUGCUGGAGCCACUGCUACCUUGUACGGCUUCUGCUGUGUUGGAUGUCCUGUAUUUCUCUUUUGCGGAGGUUGGAACCUAGCACCCAGGGCAGGAGGACAAUACUGCUGAUGUCCUGCCACUGGUGCCCUGGACUGAGACGAUCCGGCUUCAAAAGCCCUCUUUCGCGACUUGGAUGCACUAUAGCUGUUGUUAUUGUUCUCCUGGGUCAGACAGUCACUGAUGUAGGCAUUGAAAGUAGCCCGGGUCCCUGUGCCCACAGUCUUCAGCAUCUUCGGGCUCAAGCCUCUCUAGAAACUAGCAAUCUUCUUGGCAUCUAUGUUAACGAACUCUGGAGCGUAGCGAGCGAGAUUGUUGAAAGGGUGGAGAUACUCUUUCACAUACUUGGUUCCCUGAGGCAGCUUCAUGAAUUCUCCAAUCUUCAUUUCCACCACACCCGGAGGAAUAUAAUUUCCCCGAAAGGCGGUGGUGAAGCGGUUCUAGGUGAUCGGGGUCCCCUCUAGAUAGGUGGUACGAUGAUGGGACCACAAAAUCCCAGCAGGCGCCUGCAGCUGAUGCACUGCAUAUUCUGCCUUGAGCUCCUCGGUAAUCCGAAGGAGACAGGAACUUCUGCUCCAUGGUGUUGAUCCAUUCAUCUGCUUCAUGCGGUUCCACGUCCUCUUUAAAGACUGGUGGUUUGGUGUCCAUGAAGUCCUUGAAAGAGCUUUACUGAUUUACUUCACGGCCACCAUGGUUAUCCCCACGACGGGUGUUGUCGGUGAUAUUGCAUAGGGCUUCUUCCAUGUUGCGCUGCAUCUGUUCCAUGUUUCGCUAGCUCCCCAGAAACCGCACGAAAAACACGUCCGCAGUGUACAGAGGGGGCGGUGGUUGUGGCGGUGAUGGUGCUCUUUCCUCAUUCCUGCGAGCCUCACCUCCGAAGGAACCUUCUCCAACACCGGGGUUGCUGUUACCCCAACCACGCGUUUGCACCAUCUGUAUGCGUCAAUGAUAAGCAGUCGUUAGGAGUUGUUAUCAACUGGUUGACAUAUGCAAAAUCAUGCCCUUACUGAAUUUACUGAUGAGAAAUAAAUCCACACCAUAAAUAGACGCACAAUAAAUCAUCCACACACAACAUCACUAACUAAUUACUUAACAUUAAACCAACAGGGUUCGCAUACUUCAUAAUUGCUAGCAUACAUACACUGGACUUUAGCAUCAACAUAGAUUCAACACAUAAAGUCUUACACAUCCAAGAUCCAACAGAUUACAAACACAUGCCAUGCAACAACAACGGCGAAAGAAGAAGAGCUAGCUCUAGAGCCCUAGCAUCUACUCGCUAUGGUCACUGUCCAUGCCGGAGCCUUCCUCGUCCUCAUCUCCACUAGCGGCUGCCUCCAUCUCUGGAUCCUCAUCCAUCUCAUCCUCAGAAUCUAAAUCAGCUGCUCCAGGCAGGUGGUGAGGACAGAGCUGGUUAUGCAGCUAGUGAAUCACCUCAUCCAGGUUCUCAUUGUACUCCUCUGCAUUGGCUAGCUGCUUGUUGGGAAUUUUAAACGCAAACAGAAAAAUCCGCAAGCGCACGGAUACCGAUGUAGCUUUCACCCAAGAGUAUUCUAGAGUAUCGAUUUUCCACAGGGAACGUGAGUGUACUAAUUAAGAUUCAAGAUUGCCCAAGGAUAACUAUAUAAUUAUUUUUGGUGGGAAGAGAGGAAGUUUCCUGAGAGUUCUCUAGUUGAUCUAAGAAUCAAGAAUUACUUCAAAGAUUAUUUAUUUCUGACAUCAGAACACUAACCACAGAAAGAGAUGAGAAGGGGGCUAGGAAGCUCUGACUACGGUCCUACAAACAACGAUCCGAACAAGGUGGAAUACGUCGACCGUUAGGGCUGUCACUACCCUAGGGCUACCACAAUAAUCCGCAGGAUUGGGUGCGAUUCCAGGUAAUUGCAAGACUAAACACCACGUCUAAUCUAUUAAUUACUACUCUAGCGUUAUAAAGACUAGAGCACUUGAUGCAAGUGAGAAUCCAAUAAAUAACUUGAAUGUAAAUAAAAGUAAUUAAAGAACUCAGGAAUUAUGAAUUGAAGAACUUGGAGAACGAUGAAGAACAAAAAAGUUGCUGCAAAAGUACAAUGUUGAGGAAGAUCCGACAGAUCCGGCUCCUCCUCCUCCGCUCUCCUCUUCUCUCUCCCUAUUUUAGAUUACAACUAGAACAAACUAGAACUAGAACUAGAGGAACUAGAACUAGAUGAACUAGAGCUAGAGGAACUAGAGCUAGAACUAGAUAAACUAGAGGGAUCCUCUCUACUUGGAUGAAGAAUUGAAACCCUAACUUUGAUACUGUAGAAGAGGUAUGCUCUCUAGGGGCCAGGGGGCCUUGCUUAUAUAGUCUUUUUAGAUGAAUCUAGGUCGUCGGAUCAAACCGACAUCAAUCACACGGUUUUCCUUGAUCCCUUAGGUCGGUGGAGCGUGAUCCGCGAAACGGGUCCGAAUUGGACACUGUAGCAGGGCGGGCACCCAGAAGAGUAGGGCGGGCGCCCUGCCUCCGAGCCCGAUCGCCUUCCUGUUUGUUCCCGUGGCUUCUGGAGUCUUCUAGAUGGUAGAAAAUUGCGUGGCACGUUAAUAUCUCUAUGUAAACCUGACGUGUGGGCCUUUCCUCCAUAUUUCCUGAUAACCACCUGCAGAAAAAGACAAACACCAAAACUCGUGGAAUUCUGUCAGAUAAAACCCUAAGUCUGGGCGUUGGUUGCAUAUAAGUCCUUUUCUAUGAUUAGUUGAUGGUUAAAUGUGAGCAUUAAGGACCGUCAACACUGCUGCUCAAGCUCUAGCUAUUGGGCCCUCAGGGUGUCCUCCUCGUGCCAGGCUUCAUUCCUCUGACCAAGCACAUGAACUAGCAUGCGCUCGCAGUUCCUAUGAGCUGUGGUCACCCUGUCCCUCUGCUCUCUCACUGCGAGUAGGUCCUCACUCAGCUCACUGUUCUGCUGGACUGUUUGGUCCCUCUCUAGAGUCACACGAGGAAACUCUGCCUGCAGCCUCUCAACCUCACUGUCAAACUCAUGCUGUAGCUGGCGCUUCUCAUCCUGAACUGUCAGAAGAGACCCAGACAAGUGUCCCAAACAACGCUCUAGACCCCCAUAGGUUUUCAUCAUGGCAAACAUAGCACUCAUAGUUGUACUGUCACUGUGCUGAUCCUCAUCCGCACUCCUCUCUAGAGCUUUCACCUCGGACUGAUCCCACACCGAAGUGUAGGGGUCACCCUGGGGAAACACUCCAGCGAGUGUGGGCCAGCUCCUGCGGAAACCUCUCCACGAUGUCCCUUAGAACCGCAAAAGUAGCCCUGCUGGCACCCUAGAAAGGCGUGGUACCUCGGGACUCGUACACCCAGCCACCCUAGGCGGGGUCACCUCCACUAGUCGGGAUCACUGCCUCAAUCCCCACCAGGAUCCCAUCACCGAGCUGCUCUCUGUUCCAAUAGUAGCAAGGCUCCCUUCCUUCAGGAUACCCCAUCGAACUGAGCACUCUCCAAAGCAAAGUAGGCAUCCCAAACUCCCCUAGGAACUUGCUCUUGUGACGUGAGCUCCUUGGUGCUAAUUGGUGGCGAGGGGCCCGCCCACCACUGGACUUGCGAGCGGUGAGCCGAGUGCGUGCCAUCUGCUGAAAAUAGAAUACCUUGGGUAUGACUGAGGAUUAUUGUAACACCCGGCCCAAUGCUUAAUAGGAUUAAUAGGAGACUCAUACCAACAAGUUGCAACUUCUUUUCUGGGAGCCUAUCUCCAAAGAACUCUAAAGUUAAGCGUGCUUGGCCUAGAGUAAUUUAGGGAUGGGUGACCGACCGGGAAGUAGUUCCCGGGUGCGCACGAGUGAGGACAAAGUGUGCAGAAAAGACUAGUGUUGGUCUGUGGGAGCUGUCUAUGUCCUAGAAAAGCUGCCAGAUGUAAGCGGGCCCGGCCUCGUGGAGGCGGGACGUUACAGAAUGGUAUCAGAGCCGACUCUCGCGGUUUCACGGGCGCGUGUGUCGCAGUUGCACAGGCAUGGUGUGCAUGGCUGGUGUGGACCCAGAGUGGUCACACAGCAUGGCACAUGCGCUGGCACUAGAUGCACGGACGUGGCCAAGAGAGGACGUUCCUGGCUUGGGGUUGAUCGACGAGGACAUCGAUCUAUUAAGGGGGUGAGGAUGUAACACCCGGCCCAAUGCUUAAUAGGAUUAAUAGGAGACUCAUACCAACAAGUUGCAACUUCGUUUCCGGGAACUUAUCUCCAAAGAACUCUAAAGUUAAGCGUGCUUGGCCUAGAGUAAUUUAGGGAUGGGUGACCGACCGGGAAGUAGUUCCCGGGUGCGCACGAGUGAGGACAAAGUGUGCAGAAAAGACUAGUGUUGGUCUGUGGGGGCUGUCUAUGUCCUAGAAAAGCUGCCAGAUGUAAGCGGGCCCGGCCUCGUGGAGGCGGGACGUUACAAUUAUCUUUUAUCAUUUUAAUUGAAAUUGGAACAGAUUUAAAUAAGGGGAGGAAGUAAGUAAUGAUAUGAAACGAACAUGAUGCAUGCACGAAACUUACGACCUCACAAACUUAGAAACAAAAGUCAAUACUAAUCGGUAUAUGCGGUGGCACACAACGUUCUCUCAUAACAUAACUAGCGUUCUAUGCGAGAACGUCGUUAGCGAUGCUGAACAAGAAAUUAAAACUAUGGACCCCACAAACAUAGGUACCACACCUAUGUAUAUGACGUGCCACUACCCACAUCAUCGUCCUAAUGAUGGCAUUGCCUCUCAGGACGGAAUCUCCCAACAUGUGGUACUGUUCCCAGGCACACUGGAUAUGUGUGCAUGACAUAGCACCCUAAAGCACUUCCCUAGAUCGGCAGUGUAUCCGAUCAUGCUCUCACAGCUCCCACUUACCAGGACGUAGAGGAAAUUGAUCCAUUCAUUACCACUCAAAUGAAUGGCACUCAUUAUUACAUGCCAUAUGAGCGAUGAAAUAGAAAUAUGAUGCAUAACCCCCAAGUCAGUACUUAACUAGCCACCUUAGAGUCCUUAACUGGGCAUAAAGGAUAUGACCAUGGCACACUGAUUAGUUUUCCAAAAAUUCGUUUCCACACCAUGAUUACCAUUAAUAGAUAAUUAACCUUUAUUAACCGUUUUAAGUUUGUUUUAGAACAUACUUAUGAUCAGUAAUCUGCUGAACCUUGCUUCGGUACCAGCUGUAAUAGAACCGCCCAAUUUAUAAGAGAUUAAGCCUAAUAGUGACCAUUUGCAUAGUCGAACCAUCAAGCUUAAACCUAUAUAAUCCCGGUAGUCUGUGAAAUCUCGAAGGAUUUCAAACCACAACGCAUACAUACAGCCAAGAUCGUAAUAAGUCCAGCGAUCACCAUUCACAGUUACAUUCCAUUCACGACAUGCAGCGAUUACAUCGGAGUUCACUUAAAGUUAUUACAAACCAAGGCCAAGAGUAGCGGAAGCAUCAUAGUUUUAAAAUAACACACACACUUAGUCUGAUACAGUGCCAUAGUUUGAUUAUUCCCACAACAGCAAAAGAAGAGGAAAAGUGACCAUCGCCCUUGGUCUAGUCAUCACCCAUUGCUGGGUACAAGUAGUGAAUGCAAUAACCAUAGUACAUCUGACCAUCUGCAAAACAACAUGGGAAUGAAACCCUGAGUACGAGAAUGUACUCAGCUAGACUUACCUGUCAUAAACCAAAAUAAAAGACUCUUCAAGGAUCAUCAAAGCUGUAUAGUGGGGUGGCUGAAACCUUUUUGCACAAAAGCGUUACCCAUCUAGAAGUAUAUUUUGAUAUCCUCCUUUCUUUUAUUUAGCUCAAGUUAAGUAUUAUCAUUACCUAUCAUCCAGAUUUGCACCUGUACUAUUGCAAACAAGUGUUGUAAUAUGAUAGUACCUUAUCAUAGCAUUCACAAUUCAUUACUUAUCAUAACCCAUGUGUUUCAUAUUCCUUACUACGAGGACGAAGCUCAAGUCAAGUGCUCACAAUCCAGGAGUGAGGCGAUUCGAAUCAAUUUCUGACCAGCUGGCGAGUUUAUUCCCCUUACAAACCACACUCACUGAUCAAGUGAGCUACAGAUCAUGAUAUUACACUAUCCAGGACCAAAUCGCGGGUUCGGCAGGCACUGCCAGUACCCGAGGACCGUUCCGGCGACCGAGGUAUCCAAGGUAUACCAAGGUUGUGCACCGUGCCCUCGUCGUUCUCCUCAACCAUCACCAAUACAGCGCAUGGCGGCUCGACUCCUGGCCCGGAUAGUGUUCAGGCUUCACGGUCGGAACGACUUAUCUUUCCAGCUAAGUGUGGGGCAUCCGUUUAACAUGACAAGAGGGCCACCAACGAUCGGUCCUUAAUCGACACAGGCAGGGGCACUACGGUCAACACCACCAUAAGACCCUGCCCGGUCUCGCUUUUCUUUCCCACACUUGGUUACUUUUCUUCAUAGCACUGACAGCUAACAUUCAGGUAUCCACCUAUAUCUCGUAGGUGACAGGAAAUCACCCGACUUCUACCGUACUAAGCGGGCUAAGCAUAGACUCCGAGCCUAUCUACAUAGGACAAGAUAGAUAAACAGGUGGUGAUAUCAAGGAGGAAACAUGCAUCAACGGUGUCAAGCAACUCCUACCACUUAAAUGCAGCAUAGUAAAACAAUCAUGAUAUAACAAUUUAAGUUAGCGAGAAUAGGGAGACUUAGAAUGCUCCGGGGCUUGCCUCUCUCGAAAGUGCUAGGCCAGUGGUCCGGGCACUCCUGCAGUCUCCUUCCGGCUCGGGCCCUUCCGGAAGUUCUUGCUCCUAUGUCUCUUCCGGUUCCUCGGGUCCCACCUUGUUCUCCUGCGAGCCUGUAUGAUGCAUGUGUGCUCAUGAGUGGAGUGCAAGAUGUCUGAGGUGCAAUGCAUAUGCAUGUCAAUACAAGAUGAUCAUGACAUGGUGCAUAGAAGACAUAAGAAAUUAUUUCUACAAGGUAGUCAACAUCAUCCAAGGAUAUGCAACCAAAUUAAGCAUCUAUUGCAUACUCUUCUAUAAGUUGUUAUCAUUUUUAACCAGCAAGCUAUCAUGAUGCUUCAAAGAUACACCAAACACCAUUUAUUCCAUUUAUCUCAUGUAUAACAAGGUUUAAUUUAUUUAUCUUUGAUUAGACCUAUAACAGUAGCAUAUAUUUCUGAUCAUCAAUAAAAUCUACAAAAAUUACAGUAAGUCACUGGUCAUUUAUAAUGUUUACCACAAAUUUUACAUAAUUGUUGGACAGGUAACCUGGCCUACACAAAAACCACAAGUUUAAUCAACACAACUAAGUGUAAAUACCCUACUGAUGAUAAAGUGUCAAACAACAGAUUUCAUAUUUUUAUAAAUUACUUACUAACAUAAGAAAUGCCCACAAAAAUUUUUAGAUUAAUUGGAUGAACCAGUUAUUUAUUAAAAAUCAUAAACCUUUGCCAUGCAAGAAUUUAAAUCAUCAUAAAUUAAUUAUACAGCAAAUAUUGUGUCACAUAUUUUUCCCAGAGGCUAAACAUCUGUGCAAAGCUAGCAAAACAAGAAUUGUAUUUUUCUGAGUUUUUUUCUAUUUACUAUGCAUUUUCCAAAUAUCAGCAAAACAUGGAAUAAUUAUAUUUUUACAGAAAAGUUGUACAAACAUGACAUGCAAUUACACCAAGUUGUAGAUCUGGAUUUAUAGAACACAUCAAACUUUAUUUCAUCAUUUUUGGAGCUAUGGAUCUCAAGAUAUGGAUUUAAUACCAUUUAAACAUUUUUCUGGAAAACAUUUUCUACAAAUCUAUUUCAAAACAGCGCUGGAAAAUGCUAGGAACACCCAGAUCUCUACCCGCCUCGGUCUCCUUACGGCUGACAGUGGGCCCCCGACCCCACUGGUCAGCGUGACUAAGAGGAGGAGCACCUCCGACGAGUAGAUCUCGCCGGCGGUGAGGUCUACGGCCACGGGAUGAGCACCAACGUGCUCCCCGCAGUGAGGCGCACCCGAGGGUGCCCUUAGCUUGGCCGGAGCACCCUUGCUAGCGUGCAUGGCGGCACGGCGGUGCUGCUCGCCGUGGCCACGCCACUCCGACGGGGUAGAGCGCUCGCGAAGUGCCAACGGAGCUUGCUCAAGACACCCUGAACACGACGCACACGAAAACAAGCGAAAAGUGGUGAGGAGGGGAGAGUUCAAGCGCGGCGGGGCACUCCGACGAGGUUGGUGACCUCCGGCGAGCCAUUGUGGCCGCACGGGGGCUUACCACCUCGGUUGAGAGCACGCAGGGGCUUACCGCGGCUAUGACGAAUACGGCAGAGCUCUUAGCGUGGAGAAUAGCCUGCCGAAACGGCCGGCAAUGAGCGGCGGCGCUCGGCCAGCAAUGGCGCCGCGGCGGCUGCUGCUGCUGCUACGCUCGCGAGUGGGGAAGAAGAGAGAGAGGGAGGGAGAUAGAAUAGAGGGCGGUCUAGGGGAGCGGGGCGGCGUCCCGACCAGAAGGCACGGUCGGAGCGGUCGUGGACCAACGUCGCUAGUGUACGGCUGCCACGUGGUGGCCGUCGGCGUGGGAGAGGCGGGCGCGUCCGUGCGCAGGGAGGAGGAUGGGGAUUGGGCCGCGCGGGCGAGCGGGCCGAAAGGGAGGCGGCCGACCCAGCAGCGCCUGCCCCCUUUUCUCAUUUUUCUUUGAAUUCCUUUCUCCCAAAAAGCUUAAAUUCCAUUUUUGAAGCCCUUGCAAACUUUUUCAGGAGUUGAAGUAAAAAGAAGAAUUGUUCCCCACAAAAUUCUCUAUAACUUUCCUUUAAGAUGCAAGUUCAAAUUCCAAACAGAAUUUGAAUCACAAAUUAAAACUAGUUCUAGGUUUUUGAAUAAAUUCAUUUUGGUGAUUUCGUAUAAACUCAUUUCUCAAAUUCUAGAGCUCCAAAAAUUUCACAAAAAUAUUCUUAAAUCUUCUAAAACACAUUUCAACCUACUUUGUUCAUCACAAGCAAAUUUAAAGCAAGCAUGUUGAUUUAUUCUAUUUAAUUCAUUUAAAUCCAGCACAUAAAAUUAUACUUAAAAUGCUACUAUGCUUAUGUGAUGCUGUGCUCAUGCUUUGCUUGAUGAGAAUGCUUAUGAGUGAGUUUAUGAGACCAAGUGCAUGCUUAACACCUAGGGUGUUACAUGCCAAAGAUUAAAUUCUUUACCUGGCUUUUACUGAUGGACAGAUUGAACACUCGAGAUGUUCUAAGAAGAAGGAAGAAGUUCGAAGAAGAAGGUUACAGCUGUGCCCUGUGGCAUGAGCAUGUGCAAGAGACAGUUUUCCAUCUGUUCUUUGGCUGCCAGUCCUCGGUUACCCGAUGGUUUGCGAUUGGUAUCCAAUGGCAUAAUUCUGGAGAUGUGUGUCAGAUGAUCAUCCAUCAAAAAUCUCUCUUCAGGGGACGUUUUUUCAUGGAUCUUUUUAUGUUGCCUGCAUGGAACAUUGGAAGGAACAUAAUGAUUAUAUUUUUAAUCGUAGAGCACCUUCACUGGCUACCUGGAAGGAAAUUUUCAAGAAUGAAGUUAAACUUCAUCUCUUUAGGAUCCCUCCCUCAAAACGUGUUUCAAUUAUGCAUUGGAUAGACAAUUUGUAAUCUUGAUACCUCCCCUUUUUUCUCUCUAGGUAAGUUUUGUAGGUGAGUCUUUUGUUAGCUUCUGGCUAACAUGUCUAUACUUGCUUGGUUUCUUUCCUUUUAUUAUAUCUUCCUGGGGAGCAAUGCUCCACAGUUUUCGUCAAAAAAAUGAUGGAGAAGACACCAUAUGAGAUUUUGAAUGGUAGAAAGCCCAAUAUUUCAUACUUUCGGGUUUUUAGUUGCAAAUGCUACAUAUUGAAGAAAGGCACUAGAUUGAGCAAAUUUGAAAAGAAAUGUGAUGAAGGCUUCUUGCUUGGUUACUCCACUACUAGCAAAGCUUAUAGAGUUUGGAAUUUGGCUAGUGGUACUCUUGAAGAGGUGCAUGAUGUUGAGUUUGAUGAAACCAAUGGCUCUCAAGAGGAAGAAGAGAAUCUAGAUGAUGUGAGAGGCACUCAAUUGGCCGAUGCAAUGAAGAAUAUGGAUAUUGGUGAUUUAAGGCCUAGAGAGGUGAUUGAUGUUGAAGAUGACAAAGAUCAAGUGCUUCCUACCUCUAAUGUGCAAGCUCGUGGUUCUCAUGAUCAAAAUCAAGCUAGUACAAGUGGUACUCAAGUGCAAGAUCAACAUGCUAGUACAUCAUCUCAUGAUCAACAAAGUGCAAGCAAUCAAGUGCAAAUACUCCAACCAACAAAUAUUGCAAGAGAUCAUCAAUUGGAUCAUAUCACUGGUGAUAUUCAAAGAGGAGUGCAAACUAGAUCAAGAUUAGCAUUAUUUUGUGAGCAUUUCUCCUUGGUGUCUCACAUUGAGCCAAAGAAGAUUGAUGAAGCUUUGAGAGAUGUUGAUUGGGUUAAUGAUAUGCAUGAAGAGCUCAACAAUUUCAAGAGAAAUCAAGUAUGGGAAUUAGUUGAGAGGCCUAGUGAUCACAAUGUCAUUGGUACUAGAUGGGUCUUUCGCAACAAGAAAGAUCAUGAUGGGAUAGUUGUAAGGAACAAAGCAAGAUUGGUAGCACAAGGCUAUACUCAAGUUGAAGGUCUUGACUUUGGUGAAACAUAUGCCCCGGUUGCAAAAUUGGAGGCAAAUAGGAUCUUGUUAGCCUAUGCUUGUGCUCAUAAUAUCAAGCUAUAUCAAAUGGAUGUGAAGAGUGCAUUUCUCAAUGGCUAUAUCAAUGAAGAAGUUUAUGUUGAGCAACCUCCCGGUUUUGAAGAUGACAAGAAACCCAACCAUGUUUACAAGCUAAGAAACGCAUUGUAUGGUUUGAAGCAAGCACCAAUAGCAUGGUAUGAGAGAUUGACAGAUUUCUUACUCUCUAAAGGUUUCAAGAUGGGAAGGCUGACACCACCCUCUUCACCAAGAAGAUUGGCAAAGACUUGUUUGUGUUGCAAAUCUAUGUUGAUGAUAUCAUAUUUGGAUCAACCAACCAAGAAUUUUGUGAGGAGUUUGGGAACAUGAAGGCUAAUGGGUUUGAGAUGUCAAUGAUUGGAGAUCUUAGUUACUUCCUUGGUCUUCAAAUCAAUUAUUGAAGAAUGGCACAUUUGUGAGUAAAGGCAAGUACAUAAAAGACAUGCUCAAGAAGUUUGGUAUGGAUGAUGCAAAAUCAAUUAGCACUCCAAUGGUAACAAAUGGAAGCUUAGAUAGUGACACAAGUGGAAAUAUGGUGGAUCAUAAGUUGUAUCGGUCUAUGAUUGGAAGCCUACUCUAUGUGAUCGCAUCGAGACCGAAUGUGAUGUUUAGUGUAUGCAUGUGUGCAAGAUUUCAAGCCUCACCAAGAGAAGUCAUUUGAAAGCAACAAAGAGAAUAUUGAGGUACUUGAAGCAUACACAAAAUGUUGGUUUGUGGUAUCCCAAAGGUGCAAAGUUUGAACUUGUUGGAUAUUCCGACUCAGACUAUGCAGGAUGCAAAGUUGAAAGAAGAACCACAUCGGGCACAUGUCAACUAUUGGGUAGAUCACUUGUCUCAUGGUCAUCCAAGAAGCAAUAUAGUGUUGCACUAUCAACCACCGAAGCGGAAUACAUUGCGGCCGGUAGUUGUUGUGCACAAAUCCUAUGGAUGAAGGCAACCUUGAAAGAUUUUGGAAUCUACUUCAAGCAACUGCCAUUGCUAUGUGACAAUGAAAGUGCCGUGAAGCUCACCAACAAUCCGGUUCAACAAUCAAGAACAAAGCACAUAGAUGUCGGCCAUCAUUUCAUAAGAGAUGACCAACAAAAAGGGGACAUUUGCAUUGAGAGUAUAGGCACUGAUGAUCAACUUGCCGAUAUAUUCACCAAGCCACUUGAUGAGAAGAGGUUUUGCAAGCUAAGAAUGAAUUGAACAUACUUGACUUCUCAAAUAGGUGUUGAUGCACCCCAUUAUAUGACAUGCCUCUCCUUCAUGCAAAGUAAGGUAAAUUUGUUUGACAUGUCAUCCAUCCUAUGAUAAGGACUUGUUUAAUGCAUCUAGUCAUUCCUUACAUAUCUUAGGAUCAUUCAUGAAAACCAAUUGAAUUUGAUGCUUAUAUGGUACCACUAUUGCUUCUAUGCUUGACUUGAUCUAGUGGUAGCAUAUGACAUGUUUGUGGGCUUGUAAUCCUAGUGUUUGAUCUAGAAUAUGAGCUAGAAGUGUUUAACUCAACAUGGUAAAAGAUAACCCUUAUUUGGAGGUGUGAAGAACCUUGUCCUUGGAUCAAACCGAGUUAAACAUCUUAGGCAAGUAAUCUAGAUUGGACCAAUUUGGUAACAUGAUCUCACUUCACAUGGUUUCACACUAACCUAUCUAAAAUUUGAGCUCACCUUUUGUGGUCAUUGAUGACAAAGGGGGAGAGACUUUGCCAAAGAUUUGCUUAAGGGGGAAAGAAAUCACAAAGAAAUACAAAGAUAGGGAAGUAACAUGAUAAAAGAAGGGGAUCAAUUAAAAUUUUGAAUCACACAAGUAGGGGGAGCAAGCUCAUAAACUUGUAUGUUGCAUUUGUAUGUGUGUUGGGUAUUCUUAACAUCACUACCAAAAGUAGACUUAGUUUUCUAAUUCUGAUAACGGUGCCAAAAAUACCAAACCUAUCCCUCAUACCACUUAAGCCAAGUUGUCAUCCCCAGCAUGACAUGAGAGACGCGGUUUUGAAAUAUGCAAUUGCUCUUCUAAAUAAAUAAAUAAUGGGAUCUGCAAGCACACAGAUUAAUACCGAUGUAGCAUUUUAACCGGGAAGUAUUCCAGGUAUCGUUAUUUAUAUUUUUACCACUGGGAAGGGAUUAGCAAUCAUCAAUAUUGAUUACAGAAUGGAAUAUGAGAUUGAGUAUCUAUCAUUGCAUGUGUAAUUGAGAACAUUUAUCUAACUCUUUUAUACAGGGAUAAGUGUCACAUAAAAGAUAUAUGAAGUAAUGAAUAGUGACAAAGAUAAUUAAUCUGAUCAGCAUAACUUAGCCACAUAAUAAAUAUGAUAAGCACCUCAUUUAGAUACUUUAGAAAAUCAUUAGCAUGGUAUUAGAACGAACUACAAGAAUAUUUCCUAAGUUAUUCUCAACUAUAUAGUCUAGCAUUAUCAUAGUUCGUGCAAGCAUACUUAGCAAUCAUUGCGAGACAAGACUACGCCCAUGCAUAGUGAUAUUAGCAAGGAAUAUGAGAAACAUAGUAAUCACUCCCAUGUAAUAACGUUGCUCUACCAGCCCAAUACAUGAGAGGGCGACUAUAUAAGAAUCAAUGAAGCUGUCACUAUCACGAACUACCCCACGAUCUGGCAUAUUGGGUACAAUCGCAGAUAAAUACGGUAUAAGCACCACGCCUACACAAUAUCUAUCAUUUACCCAUGGAUCCGAUGGAUAAACGCUAUACGAUCCUAAACAUGUAUAUAGAUCCAAUCUAACUAAGCCAAGUAUAUAACUAUGAUAAACUAAGAACAAUAUAAUCUUGAAUAUAAACAAGUAGAGCAAAGUCAUAAGCAAUAUAUUGAAGUAGAACAAAGUCAUAUUCAUAAUAUUGAAGAACAAAGAUGAUUAGAAGAACAAUUAGAAGAACUAUUAGAGAAUUACCAAGAAUCCUCUUGACAAAUCCGGAAACCAAUCGAAGAUUGACUCCUUCUAGUUCUAAUCCUAUGUAGCUAUGCUAAUCUAGAUGUCUAAUUGAUGUGGUGGCACUAAACUUGAUCACAGUCUUCUUCUCCCUUGAGGAAUAAUGAAUUAGGGUUGAGAGGCUCUCUCCUCCAGGGGCCAGGGGGUCUGGUUUUAUAGUCCCUUCAAGUGGAUAUGGGCCGUUGGAUCAAACCGACAUUGAUUGAACGGUUAUCCUUGAUCCUUUAGGUCGGUGGAGAUCGAUCCCGAAAGAGAGUCCUGAUUGGACUCGGAAGGGGGGCGGGCGCCCAGGGCCAGGCUCCGUUCGGCCUCCGCUUCCUUCCCGUGGCUUCUGGAGUCUUCUAGAUGUAAGAUAAUUGCACUGCACGUUGAUAUCUCUAUGUAAUCCCGACGUGUGGGCCUUUCUUCCUUAUUUCCUGAUAACCCCCUGCAGAAAUAGACAAACACCAAAACUCGUGGAAUUCUGUCAGAUAAAACCCUAAGUCUAGAUGUUGAUUUCAUUUGGAUCCUUUUCUUUGUUUAUUUAAUAAUUAAAUUUGAUACUUAAGCACCGUCAACAAACUCCCCCAAGCUUACCUCUUGCUCGUCCCUGAGCAAAGAUAGACUCAGUAAUGGAUCAGAAAUUGUUGCAAUAUCUUUAAAAAUUGAUGGUACACAUGCUUUUAAAUAAAAUCUUAUCUCUGAGUUAGAGUACACCGUCAAUACUUAAAACUUACUUACUUUACCUUUCACCAUGGGACUUGUAACCGUCACUUCUGUCUUGAGUGGUUAAAAGAUAGAACAGUCUAGUCAAGUGUCAUGUCUCUUAUUCUUGAUCACCUAUAGCUCUAAUGUUUUUUGCAGAUUUUCAAAUAAAACUCAGAGAUUCCUUGUAUGACUCUCUCAGAUCUCUCUUUUGUGGUAUUUCUGGAUCCUUACCAAGGCAGUGAUGGUAUAUGCCUUCUCUCAAUAUAUAUAGUAUUUGUGGUAUAAAGCAUAGUGACAUUGCCUUCUCUCUCACCCUACUCUAAUAAGGCUUUAAUAUUUGGAGCUCAUAGGUGGGAGAUAAAGUAUACAUACUUAUAAUACAUUUAUUGUAUAGUCAAACCAUGGAUCCAAAGAAACAAAUCAUUAAGUCAAAUCAAGAUGUGCAUGUGUAGCGAAUGAAUGGUGUAUGGUGAUGAUGGUGAUAACAAUGGUAAAAGUCUAAUUCUACUUUUGCUCUUUUGAGGGGAUACAUACCUUUCUUGCUUUCUGAAACUAUAUGAGGAGAAUCAGAUGCUCUUCUUUUUCUUUUCUCUCAGGUGGGUAUCUUGUACCCCUAAUUCUACUGUCGGACACUUGUCCAUUUUUACCUCUCGUCUCACUUUUUCUUUUCUUUCGAGGUUCCGGGCACUUGCUCCUUUUUAUUUCCUCGUAUCUUUUCUUCUCUUUUUUUAGAGCACUCAUCUCUUGAGAUAAUAUAGCAAGUGGUAGUAACAAGAUAACAUGAGCAUUUAUUUCAUAAGGGAAAAACAGAAAUAUUUUUUGGCUAUUCUCUCCUGGAUCAGGAGUAGAAUAUUUUUGGGUGAUUGUGGAGAUAGAAAUGGGUGGAUAUAUGUGGAUGGUACUUCUGGAGUAGAAGCAGCAUAUGUGAGUGAACGUGCAAGUGAAUUCUAAUUUAACCACAUGACAAGCUCCUAAGGGUCUACACAGCUUGACCACACUGAAUGCUCACAAGCAGUAAAAAGUAAAUGUGUGGCUCAAAAUCUAGCAAGCAUGUAUAUAUGGCUGUGGUAGAAAUUUAAACACUCAUCAUACAGGAACUCAUCAUGCAAUAUUUUAAAGAUUUUUCAAAGAUAAAAUUCUCCAGAAUUCUAGCAUCUCUAGGAACAGAUAAACAUCAGCUCAACCUUCCCAUAUCAUAUCCGUUAACAACUUAGACUUCAGAUCAAGUUUUCUUCCCACAAGUUUAGGUUUAGAGCAAGCUUUAAAUUAUAACAGUUAUGUCUAAACUUUAGAGAGAACUCAAAUUUAAAAAUUAGGCAGAGCAACUAUUCAUCAUAUCCAUGCUAGAGUUUUAUUAUUAAGAUUCAUAUUAGCAUAGCCACUUAAUUUAUUUAUUAAACACACUAAGCAAAAGAUAUAUAUAUAAGCGUAAAAUCUUUAUUUUGUUUUUCAUAGUUAUGUAUAUUUGUAUUUUAAUAUAGUAUAAGUAUAAAGAUAGAUAGAAAUACUUAGCGGGAUAAAUGGGGGUGCUCUCCCCCAAGCUGAAUUUAGACGUAAUUUCUCUUGAUGUAGCUAGCAGGUGGCAGAGGUGUAUUUGAAAGUCGGCAGUAUCUUGACAGCGAUUAGAAUGUCCUCCGUCUGCUAGUCUUCUUGAUUCUUAAAUUCUGUGGAGCUCAAAUAGACAACAAAGCUUUGUGGAACUGAUUAGGUGUUAGCAUAAACAUCUAGCCUUUAUCAUGUUGAGACUCCUCAAUAACUAUUACUCCCUAUUUUUAUAUUUUCAUUUUAUAACGCAGAAAAGAAAUAUUUAUUUUAUUUUUAUGCCACCACAGUGAAUGUACUUAUGGGUUUUAUGCCACUCGUAUACUCACAUGGGGCUCACUAUUUUUAAACAUUUUUAUUUUCUUUUUAGGAUAGUGUGAACAUGAUUAACUAAGUAAACUGUUUGAAAUAAUUGAAACGAAAAAGGAUAACUACCAAGUUUACCUCUUGGCAAGGCGUUCGGUGUUUUUAAGUCCUCCGAACGGGACUCUCCGUUUUCUCAAUUGUCCUGAGGUUCGUUGGGUGGCGUAGUCGGUACUUCCGGCGGUGCCUCUUCUUCAUGUAUAGUUAUCUUCUGUCUCCAUACCUGACUCGGUGCUAUGGUCUCCUCUGGAUAAUUCUGUUUAAAAUGUAUGUCUUCUGACCUUAUAACUUCUCCUUCAUAGUCUGCCCAUCCGUCCUUGAUGAUUUGCCUCCUCUGGUUGUGGUUGCGUCAUUUUCUGACCUGCUUAGAUUCUUCAAAGAUGUAGUUAGGGUCAGUAAAAUAACGGCGUACGUUCUCUGAGGGGAAGUGCAUAUGGACUUCUCCGGUUCCAAUGUAGAUGAUUGCUUUAACGGUGUGAAAGGUCCUAAUAUGGCUAGAGGGGGGGUGAAUAGCCUAUUUAAAAAUUCUACAAACUCACUAGAGCAAGAGGUUAGUAAAAAACAAAGCGAAGCUUUUUCCUCUAGCUCUAAUGGGGUGUUUGCAAGCCACCUAUCCAACAAUUCUAGUUGAUAUAAUCACUAGGCACGCAAGAGCUAUGUCACUACUUACACUAGAAAGCUACCUAAAGUUUCUAUACAAGUAAGUACGCUACUCUAGUUUGCGGGAAUGUAAAAGAGUGGAUGAGAUAAUUAUACCACCGAGUAGGGGAUGAACCAAUCACCAAUAUAAACAAUCAAGCACCGGGAGAAUGCCAAUCAAACACAAUUGAAACGCCGAUUUUUCUCCCGAGGUUCACGUGCUUGCCGGCACGCUACGUCCCCGUUGUGUCGACCAACACUUGGUGGUUCGGUGGCUAAGAGGUGUAGCACGAACCUCGUCCUCACUAGGACACCACAAGAACCAACCCACAAGUGAGGUAACUCAAUGACACGAGCAAUCCACUAGAGUUACCUUUCGGCUCUCCGCCGGGGAAGGUACAAGACCCCUCACAAUCACCGGGAGAUGGCCACGAACAAUCACCAACUCGUGCCAAUCCUCCUCCGCUGCUCCAAGCCGUCUAGGUGGCGGCAACCACCAAGAGUAACAAGAAAACCGCAGCUAGAACGAUCCCCAAGUGCCACUAGAUGCAAUCACUCAAGCAAAUGCACUUGGAAUCACUCCCAAUCUCACAAAGAUGUAUAAUCUAUGAAGGAGAUGAGUGGGAGGUGUUUGCUUAGGCUCACAAGGAUGUCAAGUAUGUUAGAAUGCCAAGAGUAUAAGCCCCAAGCCAGCCAAACACGUAUUUAUAGCCCCUCAAACAAAUAGAGCCGUUGGCUCUUUCACUGGGCGAAAUACGGGGUCACCGGACGCUCUUAAAGGGGCACCGGACGCUCAACACCAGCGUCCGGUGCUCCAACGUCAGCCACGUGUCACGCUCGUGUCAGAAUCUAACGGUCACCUGCAGUGCACCGGACGCUGAGCAAGUGAGCACCGGACGGUCCGGUGCACACCGGACUCAUGCGCAGAGAGCUCCGCAAACUUGCAUGUUCACCGGACGCGAGCCACCGGACGCACCCUCAGCGUCCGGUGCUCACCGGACCCAUGCGCAGAGAGGGUCGCAAAACGCCCGCACACCGGACGCUAACCACCGGACGCUCAAGCCAGCGUCCGGUGCCUAUCGUCCGGUGCCUAACCCUAACCGAGUCAGGCAGCCUGCACACCGGACGCUCAGACACAGCGUCCGGUGCCUCUGAGCCAGCGUCCGGUGAGUGUUUUCUCAGCGAGAAACACUCCCGCGACUUCUCCAAAUUUCCCACCGGCGCAAUAGAAAAUAUGCACUUCAUUUUCUCGAAAAGCGCCGAAUCCCGCCUCGCAAGCUCGGCGGGAGGGAGAGAGGAACCCAUCCCCUCUCUACCCUUGAAACUCCACCUCCUUCUCAAAGUGUGCCAACACCACAACGUGUGUACCAACGAGCGUGCACGUGUGUUAGCAUUUUCACAAUCAUUUUCUUUGAAGGAGUUAAGUUAGCUCACUAGGUUCUAAAUGCAUGCACAUGAACAAUGACACCUAGUGGCACUUGAUAACCGCUUAGCCAAAGAAUUCCCCUCUUUAUAGUACGACUAUCUAUCCUAAAUGUGAUCACACCCUCUAUGGUGUCUUGAUCACCAAAACCAAAACCCUAAGCAAUACCUUUGCCUUGAUCUCCAUAGGGUUUUGUUUUUCUCUUUCUUCUUUUCCAAGUUGAGCACUUGAUCACCUUGUGGUCAUCACCAUCAUCACCAUGAUCAUCUCUUGCUCCAUCACUUGGCAUGUACCAACCUCAUUAAGUCUACACACACUUAGCAUAGAGGUUAGUACUAGGGUUUCAUCAAUUAUCCAAAACCAAACUAGGGCUUUCACGGUGCUGAGGAACGGUCUUCCAAGGAUGAUGGGUGGAUCGUAUUCAUCUUCUCCCAUGUCAAUAACCUGAAAGUCUGUGUAGACAAAAUGAUCGUCUAUUUUGACUGGGACAUCAGUUACUGUUCCUUUAACUUCUCGGAAUGUCUGAUCUGCCAUCUGGAGCUGAAUGUAUGUUGGUUUUAAGGGCAUGGUUCCAAACAAGAGCCGAUAGGUGACUACAGCCAUUAUGUUGACGCCCGAUCCGGUGUCACAAGUCGUCUUGUAGAAGUUGUAUCCAUUUAUGGAGCAGUAGAUGCUUGGCAUUCCUAGGUUAUCCUUCUUGGUCAAAAAUGGUGACUUAAGUCGAUGAUCUUGACCUCCAUGAACUGCAAUGACCAUCUUAGCUGACUCGAUCCACACUUGCUUGUUCCUGUUCCUCCUGUUGGUCCUCUUCCUUGAUUCACGUCUGGAUUGAUCUGGGAUUUGUGUAGUCUUAUUCUUGAAGGAAAACGUCUCCUUUCUCCUUUUGAUGUAGAAACUGAUCUUAGCAGCACUAGCGUAGAUGACAGCUCCCGAGGUGUUUAAGAAUGGCCUCCCUAAGAUGAUGGGUGCCCUCUCAUCAUUACCGGUCUCUAUCACCACGAAGUCUGCUGGGUAUAUAAGGUACCAACUCGGACACAAAGGUUCUUCAAUAUUCCUUUUGGAAAACUUAUCGUCUGAUCUGCAAACUGCAAACACAUGGUUGUUUCUAAUAAAGGAUAUGUAAAGAAUUUUUCAUAGAGUACCCUCGGUAUAAUGUUGACAUUGGAGCCAAAGUCGCAGAGUGCUUCUGGGAAGUCCACCAUGUCGAUGGAGAUCGGGAUGAUGGGGCGUCUUGGAUCGCCUCUCUUGACCGGCAUAAGGUCAAUAGUGAAUUCAGUGAUGGGGCUACCGCAAUUACCUACAUCAAACAUGUCUACAAGAUUUGCAGAUUCUGAGUAGUUAGGCCUUUGUAGAUUCCAACCUUGAUUUUGUUGAGGACGGUUGUAGUAGUUGUUGUUGUUAUUGUUGUUGAUGUAGUUCACAUCCUCAAGCAUCUUAGGGCAGUGAUUGCCUGAGUGUCCAGUACCUCCACACUCCUCACAAGUCAUGUGAGAGUCGUAGAUGUGCAUAACUUCCUUCUUAUCUCCAGCUCUAUCGUCGAGCUUCUUCAUGAGCAGGUCUAGCUUUGCAGACAACAUGUCUACCUCCUUGAGCUGAUGCAUACCUCCACCUCUCUUGCGUGUCUGGGUACUUUCUUCAUUCCAGCCUUGAUUGGACGCCAUCUUCUCCACAAGAGCUGUGGCUUGUGAUAUGAUGAGUGAUAAGAAUGCUCCUCCAGCUGCAGCAUCCAUGGUCUCUCGGGCACUGUUGCCGAGCCCAUGAUAAAACGUCUACAUCAAUAGCCAACUCUCCAUUCCAUGAUGGGGACAUUCUAGGAUGUAGUCUUGAAAGCGCUCCCAUGCUUCUGGAACAGAUUCAUCAUGUUGUUGCUGAAAACUUGUAAUUUUCCCACAGAGAGCAUUGGUCUUGCCCGUGGGAAACAAAUUAGCCAGAAAGUUCGUGGAGCAGAGUGCCCACGUAGUAUUCUUCUCCUUUGUAGCGUAGAACCACUGCUUCGCUCUCCCUAACAGUGAGAAUCGGAAGAGGCGAAGUAGUAUAGCAUCUCUAGGGACUCCUGAUAUGGAAAAUGUGUUGCAAAUCUCCAGGAAGUGUUGGAGAUGAGCACUAGCAUCUUCGUGUGCCUUCCCACAGAAUUGGUUGGAUUGCACCAUGUUGAUAAGUCCAGGCUUGAGCUCAAAGUUGCCAUCGAUCUCUGCAGCAGGUCCAGUGCUGAUGUUGUCCGUAGUGGGAGCUGAGAACUCGCGGAUUGACUUGUUUGCCAUGGCUUCGAACUCUGAAGACAAGUUCCGGUGAUCUUCUUGAUUGGAUGAAGCUUCUUGCUGAAGUGUUGAUGAUCUCCUCUUGAGCUUAGCUCUUGUUUUUCUGAAUAACACUUCGGGAUUGUCAACAAAAAUUCCUGGAAGAUGUCUUCUAUUCAUACAUUACCCUGCAAAAGAUAAAAUGGAAAAAUAUCAGGGUAAAACUGUACGAGAGAAUUGAUAAGCUCAAUCAUAUUAGUGAUGCGAAUGAUAACUCAAAAUCCUAUAUUCAUUCCUGAUUAGGACUCUACCAAAGGUUAUAUGAUUAAGACCAAUAUGAAAAUAUCUAGGAAAAACAUGGUCUUGUAGGGCUAGGUCUAAACCAGAAUUUAUAGAAAGAUUAACAGAUUCCCUAGGUGUAGCUAAAAGUGCAUUAUCUUCUUGAUUAAAAGAUAGAACCUCAGCUAUAGAAAAGGGUUGGUUUUGACCUAUUGCAAUCAACUCCGGACACAGAUCAUAAUUAGGGGCAGGACGUGUUGAGUCCCAUGGUCUAUGGAUGGUCUCUGAAGGUGCAAAGAAUUUAAUAAUAGGUAUGGAAUUUCAGUUAUCCAUAAAGAUAAAAAUAAAAAGAUAAAAUAAUAAAAGUAUAAAAGUAUAAUACAAGAUAAUAGCAAGACUCAAAGUUAUCUCAGCAAACCGUCUUUCUCCCCGGCAACAGCGCCAGAAAUGCUUGUUGAUAUUUGGUAACGCAAUUAGAAAAUGUUCCGCAAGCGCACGGAUAUCGGUGAGCAUUUCACCCGGGAAGUUUUCUAGAGUAUCGUAUUUAUAUUUUUACCAGUGGGAGAAAGGGUGCAUCUGACUAACCAAAUCUAUUGCUACUAUCCCUUUAGGCUACAAAGAAUGUUUCUCGAUGUGAGUGAUAUAUAGAGAAGACUGCAACCAUAGUCUCGUUCUAACCUUGGUAAGGAUGAUCUACUGUUCUAUUGGGGAGGCUCACAAAAUCUAGACAACACAAAGGAUGUUCGACCCGCACCUAUAAACCUACACGUCCUGCUAACAAGAUAUGGGAUACAAAGGUAACUCGGAAAUGUCACGUUCCUCGCUACUACCACGGUCCAGCUAGUCAGGGGAUAUCUAUGAGUAUCCUAGCCUAAACACCACGUUUACGCUAGCAAGUGAUUACUCUAAUACUCAACCGGAAGAGGAUUAAAGUAAACUCAUAAAUCAAAGAACAAUAAAACAAGAACUUACUAGAAUUAGAAGUUGAAUUACUGAAGAAUCUUAGAAGCAAGCCUCGGGUUAGGAGACUUGAUCCCGUAGGUACAACUCGGAGUAGACACCGACAGGCCGGCCUUCCUCCGAUCUACACCUCCACUCUAUCUCUCUCAAUCUAGUAGAAACUAGAAUAUCUAUUUCUACUUACAUUGGUUGCUAAGCCUAAAAAGAAAUAUUAUUUAGAGAAGAGGUUUUCCUUCGAGGGCACCCCUCAAUCUCUAUGAUAAUUUCUUGUCUUCUCCAGGGGCCAGGGUGGUCUCCUUAUAUAGUCCUCCUCCUCUAUGCGUUUUUGGGUCAGUAGGCGAGGUGGUACUAUGUUUUCCUUGAUCCAAUAGGUCAGUGGAACAUCCCGUGCGAAGAGAGUCCUGAACAGGAUCCAGCAGGGGGCGGGCGCCCAGGUCACCAGGGCGGGCGCCCUGGGCCUGGCCCCUUUCGGCCUCCGCUUUCUUCCCGUGGCUUCUGGAGUCUUCUAGAUGGUAGAAAAUUACACGGUGCGUUGAUAUCUCUAUGUAAUCAUGACAUGUGGGCCUUUCUUCCUUAUUUCCUGAUAACCCCCUGCAGAAAUAGACAAACACCAAAACUCGUGGAAUUCUGUCAGAUAAAACCCUAAGUCUAGAUGUUGAUUUCAUUUGGAUCCUUUUCUUUGUUUAUUUGAUAAUUAAAUUUGAUACUUAAGGACCGUCAACAAACUCCCCCAAGCUUACCUCUUGCUCGUCCCUGAGCAAGGAUGAACUCAAGAUUUUCUGCAGUGGUUUCAUGCCUUAAAAGUACACAUGCAUUCAAGCAAGAUCUCAUCUCUGAGUUAGAAUAAAUUGUUAAGACUUAAAACUUACUCAUUUUACCUUUCACCAUGGGGCUUGUAACCGUUACUUGUGUCUUGAGCAGUUAAAAGAUAGAACGGUCAAGUCAAGUGCCAUGUCUCUUACUCUUGAUCAGCUAUAGCUCUGGGGUUUUUGCAGAUUUUCAAAUAAAACUCAGAGAUUCCUUAUAUGACUCUCUCAGAUCUCUCUUUUGUGGUAUUUCUGGAUCCUUACCAAGGCAGUAAUGGUAUAUGCCUUCUCUCAAAGUAUGUGGUAUUUUUGGUAUGAAGCAUAGUGAUAUUGCCUUCUCUCUCACCCUACUCUAAUAAGGUUCUGAUAUCUGGAGCUCAUAGGUGGAAGACAGCUAAUACAUACUUACAAGACAUUUAUUGCAUAGUCAAACCAUGGAUCCAGAGAAACAAGUCAAUAAGUCAAAUCAAGAUGUGCAUGUGUGGCGAAUGAAUGGUGUAUGGUGAUGAUGAUGAUAAUAAUGGUGAAAGUCUAAUUCUACUUUUGCUCUUUUGAGGGGAUACAUACCUUUAUUGCACUUUGAACCUUUUUGGGGAGAAUGAGAUGCUCUAUAUUUUCUUUUUCUUUCCUCUCAGGUGGGUAUCUUGUACCCCUAAUUCUACUGUCGGACACUUGUCCAUUUUUACCUCUCGUCUCACUUUUUCUUUUCUUUCGAGGUUCCGGGCACUUGCCCCUUUUUAUUUCCUCAUAUUUUUCCUCUCUUUUUUUAGAGCACUCAUCUCCUUAAAUAUUAUAGCAAGUGGUAGUAACCAAGAUAACUCGAGCAUUUAUUUCACAGGGAAUAACAGGGAUAGGAAAAUAUUUUUGGCUAUUCUCUCCCGGAUUAGGAGUAUAAUAAUUUUGGGUGAAGUGG
rnacentral:lncRNA from 1 species